rnacentral:lncRNA from 1 species
AUCCGCACAUCCUCAUCCGCCUUCAUAAUCUUCUUGAUGCGGGCCAGAGGCAGUUGGUGGUUCUUGAAGUCGUUCACCUGCUCGAUCUCUUGGCGUUGGUAGGACCAAAACAUCUGAAGCUGCUGCUGUUGCUGCUGCAGAAGAUGGUGAAAGGGUUGCUGUGGUGGGUAUGGGGAGGAUUGGGCCUGCUGGUUGUUCUCCAUUUCUUUGUAAUUUGAUUCGAGGGAGGAGGGUGUCUCUGCUUGUUUUGGGAUUUUUUUUUUGUUUUUGGGUCUGAGAGAGAGAGAGAGAGAGGAUAAGGCACACACCCUUGUAUAGAUUCUUUGGUUAUGAACUUAUGAUUAGUACAAGCUCUCCCUUUUUUUUUUCACUUUCACUAUUGGGUGUGAUGGAUAAUUUUUUCUUUUUUGAAUGUGGAACAAAAAAAUCUAAGUUCCGCAAAGAAAUUAAUGUUCUGUGAGGAUAUUGUAGAGUUAACAAAAUUUUAAAAAGGGUUUACAUAUUUUUAUUUAUUUAUUUUUAAUUUUUUUAAUUUUAUUUUGAAUGAAUAUUAUAUAUUUAUAUUGGAUUGAUUUUUAUUGAUUUUAUGUAUUUUUAGAAGUGUGUUAUUUAAAAGGACUUUCUUUUGUUAAGUUUAGAGAUGAGGAUACUGUGAAUUUGACAAAAGAAGAAAAGGGUCUAAGCCCCUUUUGUUUACUUUAUUUUUAUGUAUGAGCAUUUUACGCUGAUGGGGAUAUUUUUGUUGUGACGGAUUCUUGUUGACUUUUUGUGGUUUUAAACGUGGGUUAUUUGGAUGGAUUUUUUAAUUUUUAAAUUAAGCUUUAGAGGUGGGAAUGUUGUGAAAUUACCAAUAAAUGAAAAGGGUUUAUGUUAUUUUACUUAUUUUAUUAUUUUGUUUGGUUUUUUUUCUUAGUGUAUUUUUUUUCGGUUUUUUUAAUUGAUUUUAUGUACUUAUGUAACGUGGGUAUUUUAUUUAGAUAUUUUUUGUGAUCAAUUUUAUUUAUUUUUAAAUAUGGGUAAAAAAAAGGAUUAUUAUUAUUAUUAUUUUAGGUUUAGAUGUGGGCAUCGUGCAAAGGUACCAAAAAGGGUUUAUAUUCUUUCACUUAGUGAAUUCUUUUUCACUUUUUCUUUUUUGGUUUGAGUUGUUUUCUUAUUUGCUUUCAUAGAAACUUAAGUUGAAUUACUUGAGUAUUUUUUUUCCCUUUGCCCAUUGAAGGAAAGGAGGUUGUGCUAAUUGCUAUUUGAAGUACGUCAUUUUACUCCACCAUAUGAGCGUUGCAUACACUUAUGUUCUUAUGAUAGUGAUGACAAUUUGUGACUAGAAAAUAUAGCAUUUUGCUGAGCAUUCUGUUGUACAGGAUUUAAUACUAAUUGUUCCCGCUUAAUUCUUCUAUAUGUCCUACCACAAAUUUAUAUCGUAUUUCGAAUAACUUUACUGACUGAAUACCUUUUGCAUUUAGGGACUCUAAAGGCGCAAAAUAAGUAUUUUAUUUUUUUUUACAUUCUUCUAUAUGUCCUACCAUAAAUUUAUAUAGUAUUUCUAAUAACUUUACUGACUGAAUGCUCUUUGCAUUUAGGGACUCUAUAAAUUUCUACCCAUUUUCCAUGUUUCUUAGGACAACCUUUAUGUGCUAAUUGCUAUUUGAACUACGUCAUUUUACUCCACCAUAUGAGCGUUGCAUACGCUUAUGUUCUUAUGACAGUGGUGACAAUUUGUGACUAGAAAAUAUAGUAUUUUGAUGAGCAUUAUGUUGUAUAGGGUUUAAUACUAAUUGUUCCCGCUUCAUUCUUCUAUAUGUCCUACCAUAAAUUUAUAUCAUAUUUUCAAUAACUUUACUGACUGAAUGCUCUUUGCAUUUAGGGACUCUAUAAAGGAGCAAAAUGAGUAUUUUUUUUUUACAUUCUUCUAUAUGUCCUACCAUAAAUUUAUAUCGUAUUUCCAAUAACUUUAUUGACUAAAUGCUCUUUACAUUUAGGGACUCUAUAAAUUUCUACCUCUUUUUCCAUGUUUCUUAGGACAGCCUUUAUGUGCUAAUUGCUAUUUGAAGUACGUCAUUUUACUCCACCAUAUGAGCGUUGCAUACACUUAUGUUCUUAUGACAGUGAUGGCAAUUUGUGACUAGAAAAUAUAGCAUUUUGCUGAGCAUUCUGUUUUACAGGGUUUAAUACUAAUUGUUCCUGCUUCAUUCUUCUAUAUGUCCUACCAUAAAUUUAUAUCGUAUUUCCAAUAACUUUAUUGAUUGAAUGCUCUUUGCAUUUAGGGACUCUAUAAAUUUCUACCCCUUUUUCCAUAUUUCUUGGGAUAUCCUUUAUGUACUAAUUGCUAUUUGAAAUACGUCAUUUUACUCCACCAUAUGAGCGUUGCAGAUGUUUAUGUUCUUAUGACAGUGGUGACAAUUUGUGACUAGAAAAUAUAGCAUUUUACUGAGUAUUCUGUUGUACAGGGUUUAAUACUAAUUGUUCCCGCUUCAUUCUUCUAUAUGUCCUACCAUAAAUUUAUAUCAUAUUUCCAAUAACUUUACUGACUGAAUGCUCUUUGCAUUUAGGAACUCUAUAAAGGCGCAAAAUGAGUAUUUUUUUUUUUUACAUUCUUCUAUAUGUCCUACCAUAAAUUUAUAUCGUAUUUCCAAUAACUUUAUUGACUAAAUGCUCUUUGCAUUUGGGGACUCUAUAAAUUUCUACCUCUUUUUCCAUGUUUCUUAGGACAACCUUUAUGUGCUAAUUGCUAUUUGAAGUACGUCAUUUUACUCCACCAUAUGAGCGUUGCAUACACUUAUGUUCUUAUGACAGUGAUGGCAAUUUGUGACUAGAAAAUAUAGCAUUUUGCUUAGCAUUCUAUUGUACAGGGUUUAAUACUAAUUGUUCCCGCUUAAUUCUUCUAUAUGUCCUACCAUAAAUUUAUAUCGUAUUUCCAAUAACUUUACUGACUGAAUACUUUUUGCAUUUAGGGACUCUAAAGGCGCAAAAUAAGCAUUUUUUUUUUUUUACAUUCUUCUAUAUGUCCUACCAUAAAUUUAUAUAGUAUUUCUAAUAACUUUACUGACUGAAUGCUCUUUGCAUUUAGGGACUCUAUAAAUUUCUACCCAUUUUUCCAUGUUUCUUAGGACAACCUUUAUGUGCUAAUUGCUAUUUGAACUACAUCAUUUUACUCCACCAUAUGAGCAUUGCACACGCUUAUGUUCUUAUAACAGUGGUGACAAUUUGUGACUAGAAAAUAUAGCAUUUUGAUGAGCAUUAUGUUGUAUAGGGUUUAAUACUAAUUGUUCCCGCUUCAUUCUUCUAUAUGUCCUACCAUAAAUUUAUAUCAUAUUUCCAAUAACUUUACUGACUAAAUGCUCUUUGCAUUUAGGGACUCUAUAAAGGCGCAAAAUGAGUAUUUUUUUUUUACAUUCUUCUAUAUGUCCUACCAUAAAUUUAUAUCGUAUUUCCAAUAACUUUAUUGACUAAAUGCUCUUUGCAUUUAGGGACUCUAUAAAUUUCUACCUCUUUUUCCAUGUUUCUUAGGACAGCCUUUAUGUGCUAAUUGCUAUUUGAAGUACGUCAUUUUACUCCACCAUAUGAGCGUUGCAUACACUUAUGUUCUUAUGACAGUGAUGGCAAUUUGUGACUAGAAAAUAUAGCAUUUUGUUGAGCAUUCUGUUUUACAGGGUUUAAUACUAAUUGUUCCUGCUUCAUUCUUCUAUAUGUCCUACCAUAAAUUUAUAUCGUAUUUCCAAUAACUUUAUUGAUUGAAUGCUCUUUGCAUUUAGGGACUCUAUAAAUUUCUACCCCUUUUUCCAUAUUUAUUGGGAUAACCUUUAUGUACUAAUUGCUAUUUGAAAUACGUCAUUUUACUCCACCAUAUGAGCGUUGCAUACGUCUUAUGUUCAAUUUGUGACUAGAAAAUAUAGCAUUUUGCUGAGCAUUCUGUUAUACAGGGUUUAAUACUAAUUGUUCCCGCUUCAUUCUUUUAUGUCCUACCAUAAAUUUAUAUCGUAUUUCCAAUAACUUUACUGACUGAAUGCUCUUUGCAUUUAGGGACUCUAUAAAUUUCUACCCUUUUUUUCAUGUUUCUUAGGACAACCUUUAUGUGCUAAUUGCUAUUUGAAGUACGUCAUUUUACUCCACCAUAUGAGCAUUGCAUACGCUUCUGUUCUUAUGACAGUGGUGGCAAUUUGUGACUAGAAAAUAUAGCAUUUUGCUGAGCAUUCUGUUUUAUAGGGUUUAAUACUAAUUGUUCUACUUCAUUCUUCUAUAUGUCCCACCAUAAAUUUAUAUCGUAUUUUCAAUAACUUUACUAACUAAAUGCUCUUUGUAUUUAGGGACCCUAUAAAGGCACAAAAUGAGUUUUUUUUUUUUUUUUACAUUCUUCUAUAUGUCCUACCAUAAAUUUAUAUCAUAUUUCUAAUAACUUUACUGAUUGAAUGCUCUUUGCAUUUAGGGACUUUAUGAAUUUCUACCCAUUUUUCCAUGUUUCUUAGGACAACCUUUAUGUGCUAAUUGUUAUUUGAAGCACGUCAUUUUACUCCACCAUAUGAGCGUUGCAUACGCUUAUGUUCUUAUGACAGCGGUGGCAAUUUGCAAUUAGAAAAUAUAGCAUUUUGUUGAGCAUUCUGUUGUACAGGGCUUAAUACUAAUUGUUGCCGCUUUAUUCUUCUAUAUGUCCUACCAUAAAUUUAUAUAGAAAUUAAAUUGAGUUCUUUGAGUAUUAUUUUUUUUCCCUUCGAAGGAAAGGAGGUUGUGGUAAGGAAUAUAAAGAUAUGGGACAUGUUAUCUUAAUGUUAGGCACCGUGUCUUGUUGUUGGGUAUCAAAGAAACAAAUCCCUAAACUUGAUCUUGGAAAAACUACACAUAGAUAUUAACAAAAUGUGUUGCAAUCACCUCCAAAAACUUUCUUCCUAUUUGAAUCAUCACUUGUCCUAGUAAUAAUUAUUUGAAAAUGUAACCUUUCAAGUAUACUCAAUAUCAAUUUGAUCCCCCACUUCCUUUUAAAUGCAUAAUUUGAAUGCACUAAAAUCUUGAUAAAUGAAUAUUCAAUAAAUUAAUAACUUUAAAUAAUAAAAUCUUCUAGUCUCAAUUCAAACCAAUGUAUUAAUUUAAUAACUCUCUUAAAUAUACAAGAUAAUAAUAUUUUUAAAAAUUCUUAGGGACUAAGAAAAUAUAAAUUAAUAAUUGAUAUAUAUAUAACUUUUAUUUUCUCAAGUUACUCCUUCUCGAAAUUAUUAUGUAUUUUUUUUUUAUACCUUUUCAUUUUUUAGGGUAUCAAGUUUUGACCUCAAUUUUUUUUUAUUAUCGUUAAUAAUUAUUUUUUCUUUUUAAAAAUCUUUUAGGUUUCAUGUAUUAUUAUUAUUUUUUAUCACAUCUAGUAUUUUUAGACUUACGAAGUCAUACAUGUACAAGACGAUAUAAACAUAAUACUCUUUAUAAAUUAAUAAAUAUUCAUUUAUCGAUAAAAUAAUAACCUUGUUAAAGAUAAUAAUUUUUCAUAAUUUGGUAUUAUCUUAUACGGUAUGUCAAUUGUCAAAGUCCUCAUGACGACCUGGUUGAAAUGAGAGUAGUUAUAUAGUAAUAUGAGUACAUAUAAUUGGGUGAAACGAAUCAAGCCCAAAUCCAAUUCAAGUUUUAAGCAAACUUGGACAAGUUCUCGUUCGUGUUACGUUAAUUUCAUAUUAAAAAAUUAUUAAUCUAACCUUAAUUCAAGUUAACUGUACUAUGAUCAUUUAGGUAGGUUUUGGUUGCACUGCAAAUAAGAUUGUAAAUUUGGCUCAAAUCAAACUCAAGUCCGCAUGAAAAUUUUAGGCCAAAGUCUAGCCCAAACCUAGCUCGAUCUCCUUAGCGACAAACUUUGAUCCGACUCGAAAAAUGGGAUGGACCAAGCCCGACCCAAGCAUUGUCCUCGAUAAGGAUAUGAUGUACUUUUGUAUAAUAUGUCUCAAAAUACGAAAAAUUAAAAUUAAAAUUCUUCUAAAAAGUGUUCGGUAUUUUAAGUUAACAAGAGUUUGCAAAGAGGCCAAUGUUUCUUCCAUCCCUUAUUCCUAGUCUAAUUCAGCAGUCCUUACGCUCUCUUCCUCCUCUGAAACUGUAAUCACCUCAAGAAGCUCCAAUGGCGUAGCCGCCGGGUCCAGCUCCCGGCAACCCUUGGGAGCAUUUUCAGCUUCUCGGCCAGUAAGCACGACAGACGGCACCUGAUGAGAGAAUCGAAACAGCUCCUCUCUAGGAAUCAUCCUCACGGCGUUGGGGUCCAGGUGGCGAUGAAACACCGCCUUAAACCCCGAAACCUUCACCAACGGAAUGACCGCCACCCCUCCAUGACGAUGAUCCCACUCAUAAUCUUCCAUAAUCACUUCCACCACAUCGUAUUUCUGAAUCACUUCAUCUGGGGUGAGCUCGUUCCAGUCUGGCGACCAGUUCCGGUAAACAGCCCAAACCUCCCCCUUUCUCGGGUAUAUUCGAAUGGCUCCUCCCCCCACUUUUGUCCACUUGACCCUGUGUGAGAAAGAAAUCAGAGAGUCGUAAUCCACAAGCCUUCCCACCUGGAAAUCCCCACUGGUUUUCAUAAAUCCGGAGCAAACCCAGUUGACUGACGUCAUUUCAGUGCUUCGGCUCUUAGUAUUCAGCCAACUGAUACGAAUUCUGAAGGGUUCCAAUGAUUCCACGCUAUGAACGAUAGCGUAACAGCGGGGCAUCCCGUCGCCAUUGUCGUAAGCAGCCCAAACUUGGUUUUCGCGGAAGCACUUCUCCGUCCGAUGCUUGUCGAAAUCAUGAAUAUCCGGCUCUGUAACGCUCAUCGUCAUGGCAUAAAACCUUUUCCCGAUCCUCCCAUGGCCUAAAGCCAUUGAAACAGUAGCUGUAUCAGUGUAGUCCGAGCAGCCUGCGGCCCAUUCUCUCAUCUUCUUCGAUAUUUCUCUCCGAGACUUCUGCACAAGAAUAUUUCGAGCCUGAAUCUCCGAUAACUCCCUUGCAGAAAAGGAAUCACAACAACCCAUUUGAAAUCGAGAAGGACCCAUCUCCCAUCUUCGCUCUGUAUCCGAUUUAUGAUCAUGUACACGCUUUCUCUUCGUUCUCCCGGCUCUGGAUACAGGAGAGGAGGGCGGUGACUCAAGUGCAACAAAAGCUUGACGGCAAUGGACGCAUAUGAGGGUGUGUUUGAGGAAUGUUUUGAGGUACUCAUACUCCAUCUUGCAGCCACUACACAUCGCCCAAAACGUAUCAGACCUUGACGGAAGAGGCCGGGAUAGCGAAGCAUGCGCAGGCCUCUGAUCGUCCUCUACCUUACUCAUGAAGCCACCAUGAACACAAUCCGAUCGCUUCUCAGGCAUAUUGGAAGGCACCUCCAAUGGCGGAAAUUAACCCUAAUUCAUCAACAGAAUAAGAAGAAUGAAAACAAAUACUUAGUAUAUUUCUAUAAAAUCUCAAUAAAAUCCAUUGAGAUUUGGUUUUAUACUAAUAAAAUUUUUUAUUUCUAUAUAUUUUCGUUGGGAAAAAUAUUUUGAAAACCUUAACAUUCCUUUUUCAUUCUCCAUAUUCCAACUUUCAAGCUUGUCCCAAAGGCAGAUGAUUGUACUUUAGAGUUUAGAUCCUAAAUUUAAUAGGAAAAUAUGUGAAAUAUGUAUUAUAUUUUGUAUUUGUAUUCUAAUUAUUUAUAUAACAAGGGAUUUUGAUUACAAUAUCUUACGUGUAAAUGCAAAUUUAAAAUAAUAAAAUUUAAACCAAAAUUAUUGUUUCAUUAAUAAAGCCUUUUAUUUAAAAAAUAAAUAAAUUCUAAAUAUUUAUACGAUGGAUCACAUAUAAACAAUUUACUAUUAUAUUAAAACAAGACGAUAUUAAAAUAAGAAGUUUUUCAUGUCAUAUUCAUAAGUUUUAUCACUUUAAAAAAAUGUAAAUAAAUUUAAUAAUCAAUUUGUAAAAAUAUUAUAAGUAUUUAUAACUUUUAAUACUUAUAAUUGGGCACUUAAGUUUUCACUAUUUAAUUUUUAAUUUUAUCAAAUAUUAACUCCCUUAUCAUAUACUUCAAUGAAUUAAAAAAUAAAAAUAAAUAAUUGCUCAAAAUUUUAAAUAAUUAAAGUUAUGUUUGAUUCCCAAAAAUUUGAGAGAAAGAAAAUAGAAAGGAAAGAUGGAAGAAAAAAAACUAUAAAGUAAAAUAAAAAAUAAAUUCAAAGUAAAUAAUUUUUUUUUUAUAUAUGUUUCUUCAAUUUUAUUUUACUUAUUUUCCUCUAUUAUAUAAAGAUUAAAUAAUUUUAAAAUCAAUAAAUUUCUAACUAAUUUUAAUUUUAUUUAUUUAUUUAUUUUAAUAUUUAUGAUAGUAAAAUCAAGUAUGAGAAAAUCAUUUUUCUUAAUAUUUUUUUUUUUUUUAGUAUUUUCCAAGAAUCAAUUAUAGUCUAACUAAAUAGCAUCCAGUCAAACGUGUUCAUCAACCAUGGAUUUAUAGAAAUUAAAUUUUUACAUGCUAAAUAUUCAAUAAUUUUGACUAAAUCUUUAGAAAACCCAUCAUUAUUUUUAAUAUUUCACAAUCUAUGCCAAAAUAAUAUCAUAAAUUAUGUAUUCUAUAUAAAGCACAAUCAAAAAGUAAAUAUAUAGAAAUUAUAUUUUAUGCAUUUUGUCAUAACUUUUAAGUGAUAAUCUUUCUUUUUCUAUUGGAUUGACUUUGACUACAUCAAAUCUAAGAAAAUUAUAACAUUUUUUCCAUCUAUUUCACAAUAUAUGAAUUUUGAAUUUAAAUAAUAAAUAUUAAAUUCAAAUAAGUAUUAAGAGACAUAAAAAAAAUUACUAACUCAAUUAAAAAUUAAAAUUGUUAGUAAAAGAAGAUUUUCAUUUAAGAAUCAAUUGGAUAGUGUUUUCAUUAGAAUUACCUAUUAAACGUUUAUCCAAAAAAAUAUUAUAACUAAUUUUUUAACUUUUUAAAAUUGUAUUCUAAAUUUUAUUCAUUUUUAAAAAUUAUUUUCUAAAAGCAUUAUCAAAGGACUCUAAAUUAUCAUGGAAUAAGGAAUAUAUAUUUAUUUAAUAUUAUUUUGGAUGUGUUUGAAAAAAAAAAAUGAGUAUAAAAACAUGGGAAGUGGUUAAUUUUGUUCCUUUAUGUUGGAUAUGUAAGGGCGAAUAAACACAACAAAAAAUGACCCAACUUAUCCUAAUAUUUGGAUGGCCUUGGCCAUGAAUUAGGUUUUUUCAACUUGACCUUGACCUAGGUUAAGCUUGGGCCAAAGUUUGAACAUGAUUUAAUGUUUUUAUAAUAUUUAUUAUUCUAUAUAGUAAUAUUGAUUUUCUUUUUAGAUUUAAAAAAUAUUAAAUUAUAUUAUACAUUGUAUUUUUCUUUUUUUAGAAAAUAAAAAAAAUUAUUUUUACUUUUUUUUUGCUAUUUAAAAUUUUAUCCUAUUUACUAUUUAAUUUUUAAUAUAAAUAUAUAUAAAAAAAAAGCUUUUAAACAAACAUUACAUAUAUAUUUUAAAUUAUGCAGGACUAACUAAGUCUAACUUAACUAAUUUUAACUCAAUCUAUAGAAAUGGGGUUAGGUUGGGUUUCAAUUGAAUAUCUCUUACUAGAGGUUAAGUUAGGUUGAGUUAAAGUUAAUUGUUUUUAUAUUUGAGUUGGACUUAGGUUAAUUAUCAAUCUAUCCAAAAUUACAAUUUUAGAAAAAAUAGUAAAAUUAUGACUCAUGUUUGGUUUAUUAUUUUUUAUAGUGACUACAUAUAUAUUUUUUAACUUCCAAAUUAUUAUUAUUUUUAAAACUAUUAAACUCAUUAAUAAUUUCAAUACAAAGUUUGUUUGAUUUGAAAUGCAUUUCUCUAAUGAAAAAAAAAAAGAGGAAAAAUAUGGUUUUAUGCAAAGGAAAAAUAAUAUAGUCAUUUUACACAAAUUUUUGUUUAUAAAUUUAUGAUAUUUAUUGAGUCAUUAUUUGAGUUUUAAAUUAUUUAAAAAAAUUAUUAGACUCAAUAACCAAUUCAACUCAUUUAUGAUUUGUUUAAUUUAAAGUUUAUUCACUUAGUAAAAAAAAUUAUAAAAUUAUGAUUCUAUAGGGAAAAUAAGAAAGUCAUUAAAAUGAAAUUAGGUGCGUAAGUUACUAUUAUUACUUUGAUUGAUUUUGAGUCAUGACUUUAUAAUACUCAUUGAAUCGAUUUUUAAGUUUUAAAUUAUUUUUAAAAAUAAACUUUUUGUAUUAAUGUUGCUUGAUUUGAAAUCAAUUUAUUAAAUAAAAAAUUUAGAAAAGUUAAAAAAAAAAUCAUAAAAAUACAUAUAAUUUAAAGAAAAAUCAUAUUUAAAGAUUAUCGUAAUUAAAUGAUGAAAAGACAAUGAGAGAUGAAAGAUAUGACACUCUACUUUAUUUGUUUUUUAAGAUUUUUAUUUUAUUUCUUAUUUCUCUAUAUUUUUCCGACCAAAAUAACUUCUAUUUAUUUUUUAAAAAUUAUUUUUUAUUUUACUUUAUUUUUAAAAAAACUAUUUCUUGAGAAUAAUAAUCAAAUAUUUCUAUAAAUUUUAAUUUUUUAUUUUUAAAAAUAAAAAAAUCAUUUUUAAAUCAUUUUAUCUGAGUAUUCACAUCAAAAACAUUUUGAUAGAAAUAGCAAUAAUACCCUCAAUUAUAUUUACCUGUUCAUGUACAAUUCUUGUUAUGUAAUUACUGUGUACAGUGUCACAGGAAACUACACAGGACAGUGGCCUCAUUCAGCUACUGGGAUGCUUGAUAUAUAUACCACAUUUUGGCUCUUCUUUUUUUUUUUUUUUUUUCUAUAUUAUUGUUUUUAAAUAAUAUCAACUCUAAAUUAUGCCCAAAUGUGUUACCCAUCUGUUAGUUAGAAUUUUUCCAUAAAAAAUAAAUGAACAAGCUCACCAAUCAGCUCGAGAAUAUUGACACAAAACAAGCUUACCAUACUCUCAAUCUUUAGCAUAGAAAGCAUAUGAAACAAUCUAGACCAUUGAUAAAAGUAUAAAUAAUAAGAUCAAGGUACAAAAAAUGAAACUAGGAAUAAAUAAAUUAGACCAAGAUACAAAACAACAUAUACAAUGUAAUAAGAGCUAAACAUGCAUAUGACUGAUAUGACCUGAUUGACCCCUUUUUUGAAAUGUGCAUCUUUGAUACUAUGGUCAGACCCCAUGUUUAGAAAUAUCCUAAUUGAAAGACCUACUAGACAUCUAGGUAUAAUUUAGAAUUGAUAUUAUUUUGAAAAAUGACUUUGGAAACAAAACUGAGAGCCAGGCUGAAGGGCAGGAGAGAUUUUUAAGAUUUGCCCUGAAGUAAAAUGGGAAGGAAAAAUGGACAAGCUGCUGUUUUUCAUACUGUAUUGAUGAUCAAGAACCAAGAUUCAGACACUAAAAGGAAAAUACAGUGUAUGAAUUUGAAUUUAUAAAGAAGACUAUCCAAAGUUUCCAUAUGAGAACAAGAAAUGAAGAAAGUAUACAAAGGUAAGGUAUGACAGAAAGAGCAUCACAGCCCCUUUGGGUACACUAAGUUUUGUCUAUCUGCUUACAAUUUGUCAGUUUGGAGGCUUUAAAAACAAAAUGUACAGGUCUUCUAGGGCAGCCAAAAAGAAAACAAAAAGGACUCUGCAGUUUGAGCUAUCACUCUUCCCCGUGUAAGCGAAGAAAGCUUACCUUCAAAACUGUGUUCAGAAGUCGCAAAUUCAAGAGACUGUUCAAAAAUUGCAGAAACAGGCAAGAGACAGACUGAUCCGAAGUUGGAGGUACAGCUGAGAGACUUGAGGGCAUGCUCAAGAUUUUGACAAAAAACUGUUUGGUCUGAAUAUGAUACUGUCAAACACAAACAAACAAACAAACAAACAAACAACGAAUGUUGGGUCAGUGUGGGAAAGCCUUCAUUCCAUUGGAGCUCUCUUUGGCUGCUAAGAUGAUAGAAGGAAAAAUGACAAUUAUGUUGGAUCUUUUGAAUAUCAGAGGCUGAAAUGGUUGUUGCAAGUUCCAGAUUUUCUCUUUUCCUCUAUCUCCUUGGCAACCAAAUCCAGCAUAACUGCAUAAAUAAAUUUCUAUUUGGGUCAAGCCCAUGAUAAUCCAAAUGCAAAGCUACCUGUGACAUUACUUCAUUGUCAUUUUGGUUAUGUUUCCUCCACUUCUUCAUUCCCUUUUUCAGAAGCCACUGCCGUCUCUUCUUCCUUAAAAUCUGUUAUCACCUGAAGGAGUUCCACAGGUGUAGCUGCUGGGUCAAGCUCUAGGCAACCCUUGGGAGCAUUUUCAGCUUCUUGACCAGUGAGCAAGUACGAUGGGACCUGAUGAGAGAAACGAAACAGCUCUUCUCGAGGAAUCAUCCUGACUUUGUUUGGGUCCAAAUGCUGGUGAAACACCGUCUUAAAACCAGAAACUUUAACUAGUGGCACAACGACCACUCCUUGAUCCUCAUUAUAAUCUUUGAUUACUUCCACCAUUUCAUACUUGUGAAUAACUUCAUCUGGGGUAAGCUCAUCCCAGUCUGGUGACCAGUUCCUAUAAAGAGCCCAAACGUCUCCCUUUCUAGGAUAUAUUUGGAUUCUUCCCCUCACCCCUUUUGUCCACUUUACUUUGUGGGAGAAAGAAUUGAGAGAGUCGUUGUCCAUCUGUUUACCUAUUCGAAACUCCCCACUGGUCUUGGAAAAACCAGAAACAACCCAGUUGAGUGGAGCCAGUUCAGUGUUGCUUUUAGCAUUUAGCCAACUAAUGCGCAACUUGAAUGGCUUCAAUGAUAUCACACUAUGAAUCAUAGCAUAAUAACGAGGCAUCCCAUCAUCAUCAUCAUAAGCAGCCCAAACUUGGUUUUCACCAAAUGAAAGUUCAGUACGGUCUUUGUCAAAAUCAUGAAUAUCAGGAUCUGGAACGCUCAUCGUCAUGGGUUCAGUUUCGUUUUCAUCAGCAUCAGUAGGAAGGGUAGCAGACAAUGUCUUGGGCCGGAUUCUGUUAAUGGUAUCUGCAGACUCACUAGACUUGCUGGCAUUACUUUUUCUACCACUCACCGUAGCUUUUGGCUUCUCUUUCUCUUUCUCUUUCUCCUGCUCCUCUUGAACCGAAGCCUUUGAUUCAGCAGCUGAACUCCAUUCACUCAGCUUCUUAACAAGUUCUCUCCUUGCCUUCUCCAUAAGCAUAUUUCGGAUUUCGAGCUGUGAUGGCUCUCUUCUAAUAUCAAGCCUAGUACUUCUAGAAGCAUUGAUCCUCCCCAUUUCAGAAUUACAAUUUUGAAAACCAGGUAGAUUCCCGAUCCCAGCUCCUCCAUUUUCCAUUCUCAUUUGAUUUGUUCCCUGACUUCUACUGUCAUUUGGACUAAAUUCAUUUAUGCGCCUUCUUUUAACAGGGCUCUCUCCUUUGAAUACAGAACUGGAACCAAUAUUAGAAGCUCCAGUAGCUAACCCACCACUUUUCUUAGAAACAGUAGUUUUCCUCGGAAGAGUCGGCUCUUUCAUGGCUGUUGUUUUUGCCUCCUUAUGUUCUCUCUCCAAUUUCUCAUAUGUUGGCUGAAACCCAUGAGUAGAUUGAGCACAUGAAGAAGCUGAAGCUGUAGUCCUGACACUGUCUGAUUUAGAGUAUGAUCCUGAUGCAUUAUUUGCAGCAUUAUUUGCAUGGUUAAAUGAGGCGACACCUGAAGAACAUGCUGGUUCUGCAUUUGGAGUAGAAGCAGGAUCCUUUCCAGAGGAAACUGUGUUCUCCUUUGUUGUAUGUAGACCUGUCUGCUGAUUUGAACUCUGUUUCUGUUGGUAGGCAGUCCAUGGAGUGUAUGAGCCAUGAGUGUAGGCAGGUGGGGGUGGUGUCUCAAAGGCAAGAAAAGGCUCAUGGCAAUUGGGGCAAAGAAGUGUAUGGUUCAGAUAAGUUCUAAGGUACUCAUAUUGCAUUCUGCAGAGAGAACACAAUGUCCAAAAUGUAUUAGGUUUUGAUGAACUAGGAGGAGGCCGUGCAGGCUUGGGAUUAGUGGUACGCUUAUCAUCCUUUGCCCUGUGGACACCAUUAUUACCAGCUGGUGCUGAUUGAUUCAUCAUUGUAUUGUCACUGCUGGUAAAAUUGUGUGCACCACUAUUACUGACUGGUGCUGAUCGAUUCCUGUUGGUAUUGUUACUUCUGGUAAAAUUAUGACCACCAUUGUUACCAGUUGGUGGUGCUGAUUGAUUCCUGGUUGUAUUGUUACUGGUAAAAUUAUGAGCACCAUUGUUACUAGUCCGAGAUGCUGAUUGAUUCCUAGUUGUAUUGUUACUGCUGGUAAAACCACGACCACCAUUGUUACCAGUUUGUGGUGCUGAUCGAUUCCUGGCUGUAUUGUUACUACUGGUAAAACUAUGACCACCAUUGUUACCAGUUGCUGGUGCUGGCCGACUCCCACUAGGGACUUUCAGGUUUGCACCCCUUGGAUUGCGCUUCAAAUCAUAUGCAGUUCUCUUGGCUUUAUCAGACAACAAACUCCAGGCUUCAGACAGAAUUUUAAAUGCCCCAUCUGCCACUUCCAACUUGUUUUUGUCAGGGUGGAGAACUAGAGCCAGUUUCCUGUAAUGCUUCCUUAUGGUGUCAUCAUCAGCUGAGGGAUCCACACCAAGAACUCCAUACCAGUCAACUUCCCCGUUAACUUUUCUCUCAGAAGCAACAUAGACAUCAAUGGUUGCAAGCAGCUGAGGAAGACCAUCCAGCCCAGGAUACAAGUUUUGGGCUUUCAUAGCAAACUUUCUUGCUCCAGCCAUGUCCUUUUCUGUCAUCUUCCUCUCAGAAAUUCCUUUAGCCCUGAUUGCCUCAUCUUUAUUACACUCCAUCCUCACAAAUUUUGUCCCUCUCUGUUACUCACUGCUCUAUUAUUCCCUUCUUUACUUCCCUCUCUGUAACUAUGGGUCAAACACGGUAUCAUGAAGGAAGGAACUAGGGUUGCGCAAGCACUGGUACACCAGAAGUAAUUCACAAAGAUCAAAUAAAGCUGUGUGAUUAGCAUCAGUCAACAAUAUUAAGAGUAAGAAAAACCAUAAGAAACUCAAAACCAAUAAUUGAAUGCUACUACCAAUUCAUUAACUCUGGAUAAACCGAAAAGCAUAAUAAUGAGUGCCUACUGCUAACACAGCUAAAUCUGAAAACCUCACUAAUAAUUGAAACAAAACCCACAUAAGUAAUCAUAAAAUGCCCAUGAAAUUAAUUGCAAAAAAAGCGCGCAAAAGGAAUUUGAAAGAACUUCAAAAAUUGCAGGACAGAAUUGAGACAAGGGAGUGAAAUGGGACACCAUUCUGAUGCCAUCUACAUUACUUGCAUACCAGUCACAAUGAACAGGGAACAAGGAACAAACCAACGGUUUGGUGAUAACACAAAAGGCUCAGCAAUCUGUUUGGCUGCUGAGAAAAUGUAGGAAAAGCGAUGAAGCUUGAGGACAUAAAAAUAGGUUGGGUUUGAGACGGCUGUUGCCCUCUUUCCUUUUCCUUUCAUUUCUCAGUAACCAAAGGGACCUUAACUCUCUUCAAUAUUUUUUUAAAAUAUCUCAUUGGUCAAAUACUUGAAACGAACUGAACCAACCCACAAGCAAAAACCGUAAAGAAACAUUGAAGAACACUGAAAUUAUAGACACCCAUUAAUUAAAUUGACCAAAAAACACCAAAUCAGACAUGCCCAUCAACCAUGGAUCUACAGAGGCUGAAACUUCACAUGCAAAGUGUCCAAAUUCAGUAGUUUUGCUAAAACCCUAGAAUGGCAUUAUUAUUUCCAGUAAACAAUCUAUGGCAAAGCAGUUACAAAAAUCAUAUUCUUCCAUACAAAGCACAACCGAAAACCACAUAUAUAUAAACAUAAAUGCACAAAAGAUACGAAAAAAUUUACCUAUUACCAGAAUGUGAACCGCAGAAACCCAAUUGAAAAUUUCUGGGAAUUUUGAAUUUUGCCCUUUCUUUACCAACCCAGAUCAGAUAAAAAAAGCCCCAAAUAGGGAUUUUUUGAAAAUCCUUCAAAACCUACCCAGACAAUUUUCCCAAAGAAAAUAAAAGUGAAAUUUAAAUACAUAAAAUGGUAAUGGUUUUCUGUACUUAGAUUAUUAUUUAGCCAUUAAACAAACCAUUUUAUAUUGGGUUAAAACCCUAACUAGGGUUAAAUUUUAACUCUGGUUAACAUGAAUUGGUAUUGCCAGUUGUUGCAAUUUUCAUUUUAAUUUGAGUGUACACUUCCUUAAAAAGCAAUCAUUAAUUAUUUACAUUUUUUUAAUAUUUUCCAUUUUAGUUAAAAAUUAAAUCAUUAUAGUACAAGGGUUAAUUUCACUUUUACACUUAUGGUUUAUUAUAAAUACAUUAAAUCACGAUUGGUAUUAAAUUUCAUCUAUCAAUAUCUUUAUUGAUAUAUUUCAUUUAUAAUUUUUUUAAAAAAAUAAAUUUAUUUUGUAAAUUAUAUUAAAAGUUUUUUUUAAAAAAAGGAAGAUAUAUUUGAUAAUUAGAAAAUAAAACAAUUUUUUUUCUUAAAAACUAUUAAUUAAGUUAUUUUUAGAGAACAAUUUUAAAUUGUUUUUAUUUUUUUGAAGAUUAUUUUUAAAAAUAAUUAUAUAAAUAUGAAAAAUGAUUAAAAAUAAAGGAUAAAAGUCAUUUAAAAAUAUAAAAAUAUAUGUUAAAAAUAUUUUAAAUUCUUAAAUAAACUUUUAUUUUAUAAAAUAUCAUAUAAUAAUUUUAAAAAACUGUUUUCAAAACCUAUUUUUUAAAUUGUUUUUGAAUACUUCGAGGUAGUGUUUGGUUAGUAAGAACAGGAACGGAAACAGGACACUAAUCAUCAAAGGAAGUAAAGACAGAAAGAAAAGAAAAAUAGAAUUUGUUUCAUUAUUUUCCAUAUAUAAGUCAAGUUGCAAAUCAAUAUUACAAUACCAUGACCAUGCUCAUCUUCUCCAGAUGGCUGAACUGAACGCUUUGAUAAAAAAAGGGACCAAAAAAAGAAGGAAAAUCUAUAUUUUUAGGACAUUGAAACUAAAGAAUUUAAUAGCCAAAAGAAUGGAGGUCACUGCAAUGAAGCUACAUUCAAGGAAGAAGCCAUUUAUGGCUUCAAUUUGAAUUGAACCACCUUGUCUUUAGCCCUGCUUCCGAAGAUGACGGAACUAUGAAAAUCAUAUAAUUGCUCAUGCCUGAGAUCUUCCAUAGAGAUUGGCAUAAACACUUUUGGUCCUAUGAACGACAAUCAAGCUCAGCACAACUGCAACAAGGCAGAGUCCUGACAUGACGCCACAAGUGAUGGAAUAGCAUAUGUACCCUUCACAACUCAAUGAUUCAUCUUUUCCAAGAGGCAGACCAGCCAUGGCUCCCAAGCUAUGCUGCUUGAGGGCAGCUUGUUUCUCUGCGUAGUGGUCGUAUAUGCCACUGGCAAUGACCUCAGAGAAUAUGAGAGUACCAAUAGAACUUGACAGUGUGAGGAAGUUGUAUAAUGCCCCGAAGCUUUUCAAACCAAAGAGCUCUGAGGCUGCUGCAGGGACAAUUGCCCAGUGGGCACCGUAGCCUAGUCCUAUUAGGACGCUCACGACGUAUAUCGCCCCAGGCCAGGCUAAGGCGUAGUAGAGCAGCCCAACUGACAUGAGGACUUGAAACAUUGCCAUUGACACUGGUCUUGGGAAGGCGAAGUUUCUAGUAGAAGAACACAAAUGAAAGAAAGCAGUUAGUAAGAUGAGCAAAAAGAAGACAGCACUCAAGGAUGGAGAUUAGGCUUCACCUUACAAUACUUUCAGAGAAGUAGCCGCCCCCAACCCGUCCCAGGAAGUUCCAAAUGCUGAUCAUGGAGACAAAUACGCUCGUAUCGCUGUACCCCAGAGACUCACACAUCUGGCCCAUGUUGUCAAUAAUCGUCAAGCCGGAUCCAGCAGCUAGUAGAAGGGAUACGAAGAUGAGCCAAAAAUCAGCCUUUAUUAGUGCCUGCAUUAAGGUAAAAUCCUCUCCUCUGCGCGGUCCUCGUUUCCUCUUCACCCUCACAGCUCCUUCUGCAGCUGCUUGGAAGAGCUUGGCUUGCAAAUGGGCUAUUCGCUUAUGCCUUUCGGAUGCUGGAAGUGAAUCAACUUCCACCGGCUUCUCGUCUUCGACCUCACUGAGAAUGACCUCUUCCCCAUCCUGCUCAGACUUGCCGGACUCUUGUUUCUGAGGCUCAGGUAGAAAGGCCUCCUCUGAUGGAGCUAUUGGUCCAGAGAAAAAGACUAAUAUGAUGGGAAUUGCAACUGGAAGCAAUAUUAUAACGAUCAGAAGAACAGUGAGCAAUGUGACUAGAGCUUGGCUCAAACCAACUAGAUCCUCAAGCAGCAAGACCCCCAGCAGAUAAGCAGCCAGGAUGAGGCAAAGACUGAAGGUAAAUAAGAAGCUUGAACUAUCAGAGGGCCUAAGUUGUUUGUGACCUCCCACAGGUCUAACUAUAAACAUCAGAGCAAUGACUACCAUAGAUGGCCCGAUUGCAACCAUGAAAAUAAGUGCGGCUGCAUUAGGGGCAUUGAUCAUAGUGUAUAUCUGAGUAAUAAUUGCGCCGCUCAACCCAGCAAAGCCCUUCAGUAUGCCCACAACGGGACCCCGGUUUUUGGGGAAGUUCUGCACACAUGAAACCAGAGCUCCUGUAUUGAAGUAGGUCUCACCAUUUGUUCCAACAAAUAUACAAAGGCACAGCUGCAAGAAAGGAAAAAAAACCUGAUUAAAGCUUAACCCCACCUUGAAAUACUUGGAAACAUCCCGGUUUCUUGGUCCAUUAAUGGACAAAGGCACGAACUGGCUGGAUAUUCCAUAGUCUAAUGAUAUUGAGAAUUGAUUCGAUCAUCAACAAACAGUCAAAAAGGAGAAAAGAAAAGAGAGAUUGAGGUGUGCAGCCAUGGUCUAAUUCUACUUAGCCUAAAAAUUACUUCCCCUUGAACAGCCCAGGGGAAGAGCUAGCUUCAGGGGAGACAGGUUUCAGGAAAAACCACCAGAGGAAGUCAAUCAUUCAAGUGGCUAAAGUAUAAUAAUAACUGAUAGAAAUGUAAUCCAACUGAAGAAACUAGUUGCUCUGGAUAUGAAUCAAAUCAUGUGGAUCCAAUCCUGCAAGAGGGUUCAUUGAUUCUGCAGCUCUAGCUUGUUUCCUGGAGAAAGGCAAUUGCUAUUUUUCAGGUUUGCCUUUUCAAAUCAGAACCAUAUCAGGCAUUCAAUAGAAUAUUGUUCAGGACUUGGGAGAAAAAUCCGAUUCUAUUAUGACUAACUCACUGCUUUCAUGUAUCUAUAUCAUUGAAACUGGCAACAAUCAAAGUGUUAAACAACAAAGAAAACGAAAAGAUAUAGAACCCAGGUGUCAUUGAGAAACUAAACUAACAGUUAAAAGGAUGUUACAUGUUUAAAUGCUGAGAAAAUUAAGGAAAAGGAAAUAAAAAUAAAAUAAAAAUGUAAGUCAUGUUUUCUAUUGUUUUAAUUCAGAAGGAAAAUGGAAAACCCGCACAGACUAAUCCAGUUGUCUCCAAUAAAAACCAUUCAGAAAGUAAGUUUUCUUCUUCAGUUUCAGAAAACCCAGAUAACAAAAGCACAAAAUCGUAACCACUUUCCUUUUCCCACCUUUUCUCAGCAACCAAACAGACACAUCAAAACUCACCACCGACAGAGGCAAACAAGGCAGUUUCCGUGGGCAAACUAGGCACCCACCCACCCAUCGACAGAUAACAAAAACACAAAAUUAAUCCUAACCGCUUUCCUUUUCCCAUCUUUUUCUCAGAAACCAAACAGGAAACUUUUCAAUGAAACCCGAGUCAUCACAUCAAAACUCACCACCCACAGAGGCAAACUGGGCAGUUUCUGAGUCACCACAAGCCAAACCACACCAUACCCAACAAAGUUCUGCACCACCCCAAUGAGCAUAAUUCCCCAGAUUGGCAAAACCUCACAUAAACUCCCUGCUACGAACCCAAUACUAUCCCCCAAAUCCUUGGCCACACCCAACAUAGCCACCUGCCUUUGAUUAUACCCCAUUGCACUCUUUAUCACCGGCGAAAUGCUCCCAAACAGGUACCCGAUCCCGGCCCAUGACUGCACCCACAUUGCACACACAAACACCAGCCAUCUGUUGUUGACGAAAGCCCUGACUUUCUCCCGCAGAUCAAGCAUCACCAUCUCUGGAAAAACAGCUUCUUCUGAUCAGUACUGUUGAUGAAUUUGCAUCACAGAUUCUGGAGAUUCUGAUAUGGGUGUUGUGAAUUUAUUCUUGGGUGGUUACCGAGUUGGUGGAUUCUGCCAAUAAAACUCAUGGGAAGAUUGAGAUGUGUUGAAUCUCUCGAUACUGUUUCUGUGUUGAAAUUUUUUCAUCGUGUUACCAACCGUCAUUUUAACUGCACCCGCCUUUUGUAACGGAUAGUUGGAUGGUUUCCAAUAGCUAAAAUCAUUUGAGUCUUUAAAAAAACUAAAAAAAAAAUCAUUUCUAUUUUCAUAAUGGUUUUGGAAAAAUCAUUUUUAUGUCUUAAUCAAUUUAGACUUCAUAGUAUAUUUUAAACUAUUGAAAUAAAAUUUUGGAUAUUAUAUUAUAUCAAUGACUUUUCUAAUUAAGAAAUUUAAAAAAGUUUUUGUAAGUUUUCUUCCAAUCAAACACUUUGAAUUAUUUAUAUAAAAAAAUUGGUAUCAGAUCAUAUCAAAUGACUUUUUCAAUUAAAAAAAUAAUAAUUUAAUUUUUUAAAAUUUCUCUUCCAAUAAGACAUCAUAGUCAAUGUGACAUGUGCCCCCACUAGUCUAAACCAACCCAAAAAUCAUCUAAUUAAUACAACCGAUUUGAGAUCAAAAUAUUUAUUAUCAUAUGAAUAAAAUACUUAGAAAAAUUCAAACAUGGUGGUAAUUGGAAAUAUUAUAAUAGCAAUAACACCUAAGCCAUUUUCAUGAACAUGGUCUUCUGCAUUUUUCCCUUCUUUUGUUUUUUCAUUCAUGUCUAUCUAAAAACAUGUGCAUGAUGCGAUAGAAGACUUUACCCAUGAUUGUCAGUGAGUGGUGGAAAUCCCAUAUUGAAACUGCAUAUGUUAUCUGAUUAUAUAAAGAGCCUUUCUACAUGGAAUGGAUGUGCACGACACAUAUUUUAAUUGUCAAGAUAUAUAAUCAAAUGAUCUAUCAUAUUAUAGUUGCAUUAGCUUGACAUAUCAUAGGAUUUACCAUUACUUAAGGUUACAUUUGGUUCCCCGAUGUAGUGUCAUAAGAUAUGAAAUAAUAUAUUAUAUCUCAUAUUUAAUUGAAAAUAAAAUAGUAUAAGAGUUUAGGUGGUUUUUCCAUUAUCAAGAUGAAACUUGGGUGAAACUAAGUAAAGAUCCAAACCGACUGAUAUUGAAGAAUCAACGAAUAAGUUGUAGUUAGGGGUGAAAUGUUACUUGCACUCAAAGUUGGUUGAUUAAACAUUUAGGGAUAAAGUACUCUUCUAGUGCGGCCACAAGAGUAGUAUCAAAUUAAGACAAACUCUGAAAACUAGAUAUGACCUUAAAAGGUUAAGGUUGGUUAAUGAGACAAUGAAGGAUAAGUUUCAUUUGUCAAGAGGGAAACAAUCCGCACCGAUUUUAGGAAACUCUUCUUAAUUUUCAACACUUGAAAAUUUUUAUUAAAAAAAUAGUUCUAUAAGUUAUGUUAUCAAUUAUCAUAUCUCAUCUUUAACCAAAUAUGAAAUAUAUUAUCUUUUUUAUUAUAUACACCAUGCAUAAAAUAUAUUUAAAAAAAUUAUAAGGAAAACAUUUUGACUUAUUACUUAUAUUUUUAUCUACUUAUUACUAAUUUUUUAAAAUAAUAUAAAAAAUCAAAAUAUUUAACUUUUACUUAACACUAAAAAUAUCUUUUUGAAACAACUAAAACACAAUAUCAAUAUGAUUCUCACCUUAUUAAUAUUAAUACUAAAUAAGAAUUAAAUAAUAAAAAACAAAACAACUUAAUAUUUAAUACUAUUAAGUUAUAUUUAAAGCUAAAUUAAGUUUUGUUUAGAUUUACGUAAAAAACCAAACAUCACCUAAUAGUAGUGCCCGAUAAAUUAGGUUUAAAACCCGUUAGCCCGUUACUACGACUAAGGUUAAUCAUUUAGAUCAAUUGAUAACAAAAAUAUAGCAAAACCAAAAUGGGGGUUUGCAGAAUCAUGAGAAAAAUUGGUUCACAUUUGUUUGAAAGUCAUAUUGAAUAAAAAAUUACCCAACUGAGGACGUACACGCACAAGUGUUUGACUUGGUGUUACCUGGCUAAACACAUUUUUAUAUCAUUACAAUGGGAUUGCAUUAAGAAGGAUUAGCACGGAAUCUGGCCAUGUGGCCGAUUGUAUAUCUCAUGUUUUGAUAGCUUAUAAGGCAUAAGUCGAACACGCAAUUUAUUUAGAGAGAGAAAAAAAAAACAAAAAAACAAACAAACUUGGAAAUUUAAAGUGUUAGGUUGAAUUUCUUGUCACUUCACAAUUUUUUGUUCGAAAGCAUGAAGGGCUUUUUGUAGGUAGCCCUAUAAUUUACUUGAUGUGAGACAAUUGACCAUUAUGGAAAUAUCUACAUGAUGUUGCUUGCCAGUUCCACAAUUCCCCGUUUUUCAUGAAGGCUAGAACCACCGAGCUGCUCAGCUGGCUAAGGCUAAUGGCGUGUUGUCACGGGCCACUAGUCAUGUGUUGGAUUGACUUUGAAGAGCUAAAAAUACACUUUACCCUUUCAACAUUUAACGUAUUUUGCAUAUUAUCCCCUCGAGUUUAAUAUCGAACAAAUUAUUUUUCAAGCUUCUUAAAUAUUAGCACUAUGCCUUUUUUUGUUAGACAGUAUUGAUUUGAAUGAACAAAAAUGUCAUUUGUUGUGCACUAACUUAGUAAGGACAAAUUUAUAAAUUGAAUCACCGAAAUAGAAUUGUUCCUUCUUCCAUUUGUUCUUCCAACAAUCCUUAAACACCCACAAGCCCAUUUCAAUCCUCAAGUCAUGGCUUUUUUCAAGUAAGCCUAGGUUUAUUUUGCUUUUCAUUUCUUUCCAUGAAAUUUCCAUUAUUUUUUUUUUUUACUCAUUGGGAACCUUUUUUCUGGCUUGUUGAUUAGGUUUUGUUUUCAAGCAAAAGGGUUUUCGUUUUUUAUGCCUUUUUGCUCCAUUUGAUUUCUAGGAAGUUGAAGGAAAAGAUAAUGGAUAAAUGAAAUCUUGUUAUUUGUUUUUUUCAUUGUUUUUUUUUUUGGAGAAUUAUCUUUUGGGGGUAGAUGGGGCCCCAAAUUAACAAAAGGUCCAUAUAACUCUUCAAAUUGAGUUGAAGGAUAUGAAAUAGUAAUGGACAAAUAUACCCUUUAAGAACACAUAUAAAAUGUUUUAUAAAAUUAAGUUAAAUAAUUUUUUUUCAAUAAUUUUUUUUUCAAAAAUAUUAAAUUAAAUAAAAGUAGUUUUCAAAAAUAUUAAAUUAAAUUAAAUAUUUUUUAAAUAUUAAAUUAAAUAAAUUUAUUUUUAAAAAAUAUUAAAUUAAAUAAAUUUAUUUUUAAAAAAUAUUAAAUUAAAUAAAAGUAUUUUUAAAAAAUAUUAUUUUUUUUUUCUCAAAAUCAAUAAAGGGCAUUUUUUAAAAUACUGAAGGAUGAUAUCCUUCAAUUUAAUUUUCAUACUUUCAUUGGGUCUUGGGCUCAAUUUGAAGAGUUACAUGAACCUUUUGUUAAUUUGGGGACCCAUCUACCCCCAAAACAUAAUUCUCCCUUUUUUUUUUGGCAGUUUUAUUUUCAAGUAAAGGGGGUGGUUUUCAUUUUUUAUGCCCUUCUACUCUAUUUGGUUGCCAGGAACUGAAGGAAAAAAGAAAGGAUAAAUGAAUAUCUGUUAUUUAUCUUUUUCUAGGCGGUUUCGUUUCAGGGCAAAGGGAUUUUCCUAUUUUAUGCUAUAAUGCUCUGUUUGGUUGCUGGGAAAUUGAAGGAAAAAGGAAAUGAUGAAAUCCUGUUAUUUGUCUUUUCGAUCAUUUUCUGGGCAUUCUCUAUUAGGCAUGAGACCAAUUGUAAAUCAUGGUGAGACAUAAUUAGGUUAACAGGUUUUUAGUUUAUCUAGAAUCAUAUAAGACAGAGUUAUUCAAAAAUCUAAGUAGGCAUUAAAAAAUAAAGAAAAUCAAUCAAAGCUUUGUAGUUAAUAUUCUUCAACUUUUAGUUUUCUUUUCAUCGUUUUGUAGAUUUUUAAUUGUUUUGUAGAUAUGGUAGGUCUUUGAGGAUUUAGAGUUUUAGGAAGAACGAGGAAAUAAAAGAAGGAGAGUUUACUUCUAUUUUGGUGAUUUAAUUUACAAAUUUAUCUUUAUUUAUUAAAUCAUGCGCACAACACAUGACAUUUUCGUCCAUUUGAACUAAUAUAACAAAAAAGGCAUAGUAUUGGUGUUUAAUAAGCUGAGAGGGCAAUUUGUUCGAUUUUAAAUCUAAUGGGGUAAUGUACAAAACACAUCAUAGGUUGAGGAAGUAAAGUGUAUUAAACUCUAAAACUUAAUAAACGUUGUUGUACUUGUUUGACUAAUUUUGUCAAAAGACCUUAUAAUUAAGAAAAUAAAUUUUGAAAAUAGUUUUUAAAAAUGAUUUUAUGAUGUUUUGUAAAACAAUCAUAUGUUUGAAAACCUAAAAUGUUUUUAAUCUGUUUUUAAUAUUUUUAAAUAUAUUUUAAUGAUAAUUUUUAUGUUAGUGUUUUAUUUUUAAUCAUUCUAUAUAUUUAUAUAAUUAUGUUUUAAAACAACCCUAAAAAAAUAAGUUAAAAUAAAAAAUAAAAAAUAAAAACAAUUAAAAAAAUAUUCCCUAAAAAUACCAUAUUUUAUGUUUUUUAAGAACAAAAAAUAGAAAAUGGUUUUUAAUCAUGUGUUUUCCUAUUUUUUUUGUUCUCGAAAAUAGAAAAAAUCUUAAAAUAAAUAUUGCCUCUUAUACAAGCUCGAACUUAUAACUAAAAAGGAGUUUUAAGUCAAGAAAAUACUACUUAUCAUAGCUCUUUUGUUAUGAUACGUCUAAUAAAAAUUUUAGAAUACUAAUAUUGUAUUUUGAAAAUUAUGACAUGGAUUCCAACCACUAGUGAAAGCCAAAAACAGAAAGCUAUCUUGUGUGGAUCAUGAUGUUGCAGCUACUUGAUUGGAAGUGGUACCUACCUAGCUUCUAGAAAUUGAAGAAACUACAAAUAAAAAACAAACCUACUAUUUAUGGUGAAAUAAAACAAAUAAAGACAUGAAGGUUUGAAGUAGACAUGAUUUGAAGGCCAAAAUAUCUGUAAAAUUCCAUGGGCCAAUCCUCUAAUCAACAACAAAAGGUAAGCUGAAAGCUAAUUAACUCAUCACUCAUCCCAUCAAAAAUCAGAUCGGUUUUCAUUUCAAACCUACCUACACCCAUAUUGGGAAUCUACAACAACACUGAUGAUCUCAUCUAGGUUGAAAAGAAUGACAAAACUAAGAGGCAAAACACUUACUAAUACUACUAACAGACACUUCUCUAAAUUCUCUUCAUUGGUUUGCAGGUAUUGGUUUCAUCACACAAUGUGGAUCAUGCUUUCAACAUACACAUCAGUGAAAAUCUAAGCAUUCCUACUUCAGCCAUGCCAUGUGACAUGUUAAGAGCAUCGAGACUUUCACGAGAGCAUGUCAGCGAUCUAUAUGAGUUCACCAAUUGUUUAAUGUAUCACGCCAAAGGAAGCUACAAUGUAAUCAAUAUAUAUAUAUAAACAUUUAAGGGAAAAAUGCUCAUACACCCCUUAAACUUUUAACUACCGGUCAAAAGACCCCCUUAACUUUUUUAUUGGCCAAUUUACUCCUUAAACUAUUCAUAACUACCAAAUUAAUACUUCAAUUAGUCACACGUUAAAACACUAACGGAAUAAACACAUGCCACUCACGUGGCUUUUAAAUACAAACUGAAAAACACCCAAACAUCCAAAACCCAAUGGAAGAGAAGAGAACCAGUCCAGGUCCGGCAGAGAGAGAGAGAGAGAGAGAGAGACUGCACGCCGUUCAUAGCCACUGCCAAGCUUCUCUCCGCCGUCUCGCCGCCCUUGUCUCGACGGCUCCUUGGUGGUUCCGCCGCACUGUUCAAUCUGGGUAUGUUUUUUUUUUUUUUUUUCUUCUUACGUCUUGCUAUUUAAAUUUUCAAAGAACUUUUAUUUUUUUUUUAAUCUCCAUGUGCGAAUUUUUAUUGUAGAAAUUCUUGUUUUGGUUUAAUUUCUGGGUUGGGUCUCUAUGAAAUUCUUGGUUUUUUACUUUCUCCAUGUGUCUUUCACCAACUGUUGCAUUUGAGUAUGCCAUAGAGCUGUUUGAUUAAAUGCCUGAGAGAGAUAUGGCUACUGCUAAGGGGGUUUGGUUGCUUGGUUAUCCAAUUUUCCAAAUAUGCUGGCCUUCUAAGUUUCCCUUGCAACCCAUUUGCAACAAAAACAUAUCAAACACGAAUUAUUAUUUCUUCCCAUUUGCACUUCAAUUAUUAUUUCUUAAUUUUCUCCUUCUUCAUGUAGAAAUCAACCCUAAAUAUUUCCCUUAUUUGUUUCAGCAAAUCAGAUAAUGUAAUUUACAAGCUCAAAAAGAUGGGAAAGAUUGGGGAGAAAGAUAUAUUGCUGAUCUGCGAUUACUUCAGUAAGCUUGAUCGCAACAACUUUGGGAAGAUAACACUACCAGAUCUUUAGGAACCUUGUGACUGCAAGAAUUAUGAAAUCUGUUUCUAUUCUUUAGAUGGAAGAAAUGUAUAGUUACAUUUUUUUUCUUCUUCCAUUGAUACUUGUAAAGGUUUCAAGUCAUAUAGGAGCAAUGAAAAAUAGAAGCCAAUGGGAUAUGUCCCCCUUCUGUUAUAGGUUCUCUUACAGCCAUUAAAUUGAGAGGCUGCUAUGGAGGGUUUGAGUUGUGUGAUGUAGAUUUGACACUGUAAUAAUUCAAGUAGUCAACAAGGAAAGCAAACAAUCUUGGGAUGAUCUUACUUCUUCUCUUUAUUUUGAUUCAAGUUGUAUGAGUGAUUUGGUUGAUGCGUACUUCUUCUCUUUAUGCAAUAACCACUAAAAAUGAAUGUGUCCCAAUCUGCCAUGAAUUGAACUUUAUGCAAUAACUCUAAGAAAAUAAAUCAAUAAUUACACUUUUCCGGCAAUAUUGAAAAACAAAAGUAUACUGGCUCCAUCAGUAUUCUUAAAAGGAUCUCAAUAUGCCAUGAAUUGAAAUAUCAAAUAAGUAUUCACAAAUGGUAUAUUGUUUGCCAAAAAAAUAACACUCAAUGAAUCAAUAAUUACACUUUCCAAGCAAUAUUGAAAAACAAAAGUAUAUUGGCUCCAUCAAUAUUUUUAGAAGGCUGUGUAUCACUAAACAAAUUAUUGAACUAAAAAAUUAUUUAUCUUCUUGCUGCCACUAAACCUUAGCCUUUCCCUUAUCCUUCUUGCUUCCACUAGUGUUGUCUUUUGUACGACUUUGACUUGACUGUUAAGUACCUAUAUUUGAUUGCUGAGUACCUUAUAAAAAGCCAAAAAAUUUGAAAAAGUUUAACAAAGUAGUACUUGAAAUUUGGAUGAAAAGUUCAACAAAGUAGUACUUGAAAUUUACCAAUAAUUUUUUACUCCCUUUAGCUCCAGAUGUAGAUGAUUGUUCUAAUUGCCCUUUCUUUUUCUUUUUAUAAGCCUUCUUGUUGGGGUUAUCAGGAGCUUUACAAGUUCUUUGAUUAUGGCCCCACCGGAAACAAUUCCCACAUUUCAUGGCAGUUCCUUUCUUGCUCACCCUAAAUGCAUUAAUAGGUUCUCCUGCCUCCCUCUUUCUUACCUUCUUAUGCUUGCCUACUUUCUUUGUAAAUUUUGGGGGCUUGAUUAGGUCAUAGGGUGUUUUUGGCCAUUGUUCAUGGCUUGGAAGUGGGCUUAUCAUCCAUUGGUAACAACUUAAGAAUGUCUCCUUAGUGUAAGCAAUGUCUACAUAAGUCUCAAGUUGCUCUCCAUGCUCAAUUAUUGCAGCAGCAGCAUGAAAACAUGGGAUUCCACUCAAUCCCCAUCUCCCACAACCACAAGUCCUCUCAUUCAAGUCCACCACAUAUCUUCCACCAUAAAUAUACUCCACCUCAUAUUUGGACUCUCCAUUCCAACGAGAAAUGCAAUGUCCAACCUCGUUUUUUAUCCUCUCAAGCUUCUUAUAGAUUCUUGGACAAACCCUCCCUUCAUACCUUCUCAUAUGAUCUCUUUUGGUUUGCAACCUUUGCAUCAACAUCACUCUUAUGAUCUCUAUCGUUGUCAACACUGGUUUAUCCCUAGCCUCCAAAAUCCAAGCAUUGAAAGACUCUGCUAUAUUGUUUACUAGAGUGUCACUCUUGCUUCUUGGAUUAAAAGCAUGUCUGCUCCAUGUUCUCACAUCUAACUUCACAAGCCACUCAUAUGCCUUCACAUCUAGCUUCUUCAACUCAUCCAUGUGGAAGUCAAAAGAAUGCUUUGUUGUUGCCCUAGCAGCACUCCACAUUGCAUCUUUGAGUACCUUCCCAGGAAAAUCCUUCUUGAAAUUUGCAUGUAAAUGCCUAACACAAAAUCUGUGCUCUGCAUUAGGCAUCAAAUCUUUAAAGGUCUCUACUAAUCCCUGCCAUAAAAAAUACGCAAAUAUACAUUAGUUAUUCAUAUUCAGGUUAUAGAUCAUGAUAUUUUUAAAAAAUAAAUAAAUAAUUCACAUGCACAUUAAUUGUUUCUUGCCUUCUGUCGGUCUGAGAUAAAGACCCAUCCAUUCUCAUCCACAUGUCCAAUGUCAUCCAACAAGAAUUGUAGAAACCAAGUCCAAGAGCUUUUAUUCUCAAUUUCAACGAUAGCAAAAGCGAUUGGGAAGAUAUUAUCAUUCCCAUCCUUUCCAACAGCAACCAGCAACUGUCCACCUGUUGUCCCCUUCAAAUGACAACCAUCUAUCCUAAUAAGUGGCCUAUAACUUGCUAAAAAUCCCCUUUUGCAAGCAUCAAGACAAAUAUACAUUCUCUCAAACACAUCAUUCGUAGUUUGUAUCUUCACUGUGCUACCCACAUUCCACUUCCUAAUAGCAGCUGCAUAGUCCCAAAGUCUCUCAUACUGCUUCUCCUCAACACCAUGUAUCAUCUUGAAUGCCAUUCUCUUAGCCUUAUAACAUUGGUCCAAAGUCACAUCAACUUCAUGGUCCUUAAACACUGCACCUUUCAAUGCAUUUGUUGUCCAAGUAUGAUCAUCUCUAAAGAAUGGCAAAUAUUUAUUGGCUAGCCACCUUGAAGAAAUCUUACUAUUCUUAUGAUCCUUGCCACACGUAUGAAUGCUUUUAAAACUUUUGAUUUGAAAGGCAUCUCCCAUUUGUGUUUGGGAUGCAUGUAUCUUCCAACCACAUUUUUUUUUUACAUACAGCUAUCACUCUCCACUUAUCAUUGUGCUUAUACUCAAAAUCAUGUUUUUCUUUAAUACACCACUCCUUUAGUGCCUCCUUGAAGAUGACAUGUGAUGCAAAUUUUUUAUCCUUCACUAGCUGUACAUUCUCCAUGCCAAUGCGCUAGUUAAACUCAGGGAACCUAGGCCUUGAAUUCCCUUCAUCAUCAGAUGACCCUUCUGCACUCCUUAACUCAUCACUAUCCCCAUGAUCUGAAUCUCCUUCACCAUUCCAAACUCCCUCAAGCUGCUUGCCUCCAAUUGCUCUAUUGAUUCCAUCAUCCUCCAUACCAAAAUCUUCAAUUAUAUGAUCAUCAUAUUCAGAAAAAUCACUCAAAUUGUAAUCUUCGUCAUCCUCGUCAUCCUCCACAUCAAUUGGAACAUUAACAAUUUCAGAUUGGCCAUCAGCCUCAAUAAAAUCAUAUUGGGAUUGAGGGGCUUGUACAUUUGGCAUAGAAGGUGAAUUUCCAGGGAGUGACAGUGGACUUUCAUCCAUGGCUACAAUACAAAAUUAACAAGAACAUUAAUAGAAGAGCUGGAGAAAACAUAAUUAAACAAAAAAAAAAACAAUAUAGAGAAUAGUGAGAAAAAAAAAUAUAACAAUUUGCUCAUGCACAUGUGCAUGAUUGCUGCUAGUUCAAUUCACAUAAUUCAAAAUAUUACAACAUGCUAGCUUAGUCAGUAGACCAUAUGGCUGGAAUCAUUACACCGAGACCCAGUAUCUUUAACACUAACCAAAAGCCAUAUCUUUAACAGUAAACUAUAUAUUACAUAUUAAUAUUACUUAGCUGCACCCAGCAUCUUUAGGGGAAAAAAAAAAAAGAUGCACCUAGCAACAGUAGAAAAAUGUAAAAAUUAAUAAUAUUCUUUUGAAUGGAUCCAUAUUCCAAAGUAUUUAGAAACCUUAAAUCAGUUGAGUUACAAAGACAUUCGGCGAUCAAAUUCCCUUUAUCCUAACUAAUGAAUUAACAUAAAAAAUAAACUUAUUUGGAUCAAACGAGAUAAAAUCUUUAGUGACUUAAUGCAAAUUUUGAAACUAUGCUUAUGAUUUUUCAGUAUCAACUGCUUCGUCAUUGCAAAUGUUGCAUAAGAUGGUUGUUAAGACAUUAAGAUCGUAAGGCUUACUUACAAAGUGACCUUGCCUGAACAUAUGGAAAAACUACAUUAUCUUCUCAUAAUAAAAAAGAAAAGUGCUACACUAAUUCUAUAGUGUAAUUAGACAUGGCAAGUUUGGACCAAACUGGAACACACUAAAAAUACCAAGGGAUUCAUAAACAGGAUUUUGGAUGUUCAUGAUCAAUCCUUAUGUAGCUCUGCAUUAUUUCUUGGAUGGAUACAAGGCAUAUUUGCAAGUGACAAAAUUAAUGAAAUUUCUCUAAUUGAAGAUUUAGUUAUUGGCUUCUGGAUCAUUACAGAACCAAUUAUUGUGUUUGAUAUUUUUUUGUAGCAAAUGGGUUGCAAGGGAAACUUGGAAGGCCAACAUAUUUGGAAAAUUGGAUAACCAAGCAACCAAACCCCCUUAGCAGUAGCCAUAUCUCUCUCAGGCAUUUAAUCAAACAGCUCUAUGGCAUCCUCAAAUGCAACAGUUAGUGAAAGGCACAUGGAGAAAGUAAAAAACCAAGAAUUUCAUAGAGACCCAACCCAGAAAUUAAACCAAAACAAGAAUUUCUACAAUAAAAAUUCGCACAUGGAGAUUAAAAAAAAAUAAAAGUUCUUAGAAGAUUUAAAUGGCAAGACGUAAGAAGAAGAAAAAAAAAAAAAAAAAAAGACAUACCCAGAUUGAACAGUGCGGCAGAACCACCAAGGCGCUGCCGGGACAAGGGCGGCGAGACGGCGAAGAAAAGCUUGGCAGUGGCUAUGAACGGCGUGCAGUCUCUCUCUCUCUCUCUCGGACCUGGACUGGUUCUCUUCUCUUCCGUUGGGUUUUGGAUGUUUGGGUUUUUUUUAGUUUGCAUUUAAAAGCCACGUGAGUGGCAUGUGUUUAUUCCGUUAGUAUUUUAACGUGUGACUAACUGAAGUAUUAAUUUGGCAGUUGUGAAUAGUUUAAGGAGUAAAUUGGUCAAUAAAAAAGUUAAGGGGGUCUUUUGACCAAUAGUUAAAAGUUUAAGGGGUGUAUGGGCAUUUUUCCUAACAUUUAAUGUGGUUUCGCCAACCAUGCAUACAUUAAAUAAAAUAAAUAGAUGCAACUAUUAAGUCUAGAAACAUCUCUUGUUUCUCUACCUUCACAUUUUUUUAUAUAUACACCCUGAACUACAAGUAUCUACUCUUACGGAUGUCUCCCAUUUUUCUUCACAUCUUUACCUACUCAUAUAAUCUUUACAAACUCAACUUAGUCUCAUAAUUUUUUCUGCCGUGAUAUAAAUUUGUCAACAUACUCCCAACAACUUUCCUUAAUAUUUUAUGCCAAAUAAAAAUAUGAGAGAGAUUUGAUCAUGUUCUUCCUCUAGCAUCACGAGCAGAACACUGCACUCAAUUCUUCAACUUGCACAUGAACAAACAGUCCCCACAACAAAUUGGAUAUGAAUAUAAAAUAUUAGGUCUCAGACCAAGGUUUCUCAAAUAGAUGUGAGCGGGUCCAAACUCAGGACCACCCUUCUACUCAAGCUGAUCACAGCAGGGAAGAUGAAUAUCCAAUUUUAUUUUCCCCCUUUUAUAAUAAGAAAAUGGAGCACAAGAGGAAUUAGUUUCUUUGCAUGCGUUGACUUCUUCUAUAAUGACAGACCAACAACAGGGGCAGCAACUUCUAUUUGCUUGGAAAAUGUGGGGAAGACCAAGAAAAACACCUUUUCUACUUAAUCUACUAAUCUAGCAUUGUGUUGAAAUCAAAAGUUGUGAUGACAUGUAAGGUUAAUAUAAUCACAGUUGCUUGUGAUCCUAGGUUUGAUAUUUCAAACGCCCAACCAAGAUGUUUCAAUGUAUGAUUCGUUUUAAAGAAUUGGUGUUUUGAUAAUUUCAUCAAUCAUUUUCACUAAGUUCUUAAAAUCCAUAGGUCAAACAAGUAAUUGGUUUUGAUAGGUUUGUUUUCUCCCCUCCUAUCCUGCUGCAAUAUGACCAACAAGAAAUGGUUUUAUAGAGCAUGUUAUCAUCCAGAAACAGCUGAAGCAAUAAGUGUAAGAAAAAAGAAACCAAGAAUUUGGACACAUGGAUGAACAUUCAAUACCAUCCUUUUUUCUCUGCCAUCAGAUUCUUGAUUAUUAAGAAUUAAAGAACAUGAUAAUGAAUAAUCAUAUCCGAAAUUUAAGGUAAGUAAUAAUAUAUUUGUACAGGCAACAUGAAAUAACUAAUCUAAUCCAUAGAAUCCAAACUUGGAGCAUACCAUCCCAACAGGUCAAUAAUCUUCUUCAUCCUUUCUUCUUGUCCUUUUGAAUCUCCUAGAGCUGUGGUGAAGGGGUACACAUAUGUUACUUUUGUGGCCAUGGUUCUAUAAGCAACCACAUCUCCUUUCACCAAAAACUCCAUUAUGUCUCUGCCAAAACCUCCAUCAACCUCAGCUCUCAGAUAUUGGCCUGGAAAAGAAAAAAUCACCAACAAAUACCCCUUAUCAAUAGCAAAAUUUCAGUAAGAUUGCAUAUGCUCAAGCUCUGUUUGGUAUCUGAGAAAGGUAAGAAAAAGGAAAAGACUGGUCAAAAGAAAAAGGGUAUGAUGCUAUUUAGUUUCAAAGAAAACAAAAAGCCGGACUCUGGCAGUCAGAACAUCCUACAAACACAUAAUUGAAUUGGUUUUCAUUUCAUCUUUUUUCAGUCCAAUUACCAUCUGGAGUGUCUUCAACCACCUGAAUCUUUGCAUUUCUCUGUGUUUUUAGGAUUGUUUCUUGCAAUUUCUGCAAAACAGGUCAGAAAAAAAAAAUCCAUCUUUCAAUUCACCCAAAACCAAAAAUUCAACUCAAUAUACAGAAUGGCACAAGCAUAUGUGUCCAAAACCUGAACGGCAUUGUCUGAAUACUUCUCAGGAAUCGUCAAUGGGAAUGCAAAUGAUGAAGAUUUCGGGUUUGUUGAAACACAACCCGGAUUAAUUGAUGGACAGGGCCUGAUUUUCCUGCAAAAAUGCUACACUUUACCGAACCAUUUACAAUUAAGCCAUAAAAAAUUCAGCAAACAAUUAUACCAUUAUCAGCAAAAAAAAUGCAAACCCAUCAAACAAAAAUAGAGUUAGGUCAUACCCAUUUUCUAACCCAACCUGCAAGUUCUUAGAUUGUGAAAAUGGAGUGGUGGGUGGGAGCAGAGAGGACUGAGAAUUGAUGGAAGGGAGUGCAAGAGAAAGUGGUGAGGAAGCUAGGCUGACAGUGAGGGCAAAGGAGAGCAGAUUGGGUAGAAGAAAAGGUCUUGUGUUGGAAUUCCGUGAAGUUUCUGUUGGGAUUCGAAGGUGAAACGAAGCUUUGAUUGUUGAGUGUGUGGAGAGUGGGGGGGAUGGAGAGAGGAGACUACACAAACACAUGCUUGCUAUCCUUUCCUCCCUGCAAAAUUUUCAUUUUUGGUAUUUUUGUUUUCCCUGGAAAAUGCGCAGUAAUUAAUAAUAAUAAUUCAUUUAGUUUUUUUGGCGGACAAAAAAAAAUAAAAAAUAAAAAUAGUAUCCUAUUCUUCAAAAUAAAAACAUUGAAAAUAUUUUUUUUUCACUUAAAAAAUAAUUAUGCAAUUAAAAAUAAGAUAUUAUAUAUAAAUUUUAUUUUUAAAAUAUAUCUAAAAAUAUAAAAAUAAGUUAAUAACAUUCGAAGUUUUUAAAUAGAUUUUUUUCUUAUAAAACAUCAUAAAAUAAUUUUUAAAAAAUUAUUCUUAAAAAUUCUGUUUUUAGAAUUAUCAUUCAAAAUACUUCAUAAAAAGAAUCCUAGGUAUCAAAUGAUCCAACAAUCAAAUAUGUAAUUCAAAAGAAUUCUCACGACUUUAAAACACUCUUUACAUAAUUAAACACAUCGGUUCUAAUACAAUUUGUUAAAACUUGUACCCAAUCAUAUAGAUAUUAUCCGCUUUGAAGUCAAAUAAAUCUCAGCAUCUAUAAAGUUAAAAGGAGUUCAUACUUAUAUAAUGUUAGAAACUUUAUUCUCUAUCCAAUGUGGGAUAUCACAACACCCUUAUAUAAAUACAAUUUCUUCGUUAUGUUUCAAUGAAUUAUGAGACCAAACAAAUAAACAUUUCUUAUGGGACUAAAUAAACCUCCACACAGGGGUUGAGAAUUAACUUUGAUACAAUUUAUAACGACUCGUAUCCAAUCGUAUAAAUAUUACCUGUUAAGGAUCCUUUUGAGUUCAAAGUAAACAAUAUUUAUACAGUUAGGUUUGGAUCUCGUUAUAAUGAUGAAUUUUAAUUUCUCCUUCAAAAACUAAAAAUAAGUCAUAUAAAUUAUAUAAAAUUAUAAAUAUGUACCAUUAAAGUCAAUAUAACUAAUUUUUUUUCAAAUUUAGAGAGGAAUAUUUUCUCUUAUAGGUCUUUGUAAUCGUGUGCCAGAGUAUGCUUUAAGAUAGAAAUAUUUUAAUAAAAUUAUAAAUAUUUAUUCAAAUUGCAAAAUAUUUAUUAAAAAUAUAGAUAUUUGGAAAUUUAAAAAAUAUAUAUCAUAUACAAAUAUCACCUAAAGAAUGCUUAUUUGCACCUCAAUUUAAAGAAUAAAUGCGACAAUAUUUAAAAAUAAUAAUAAUUAAAAAUAAAUUUAUUUUCUUCAUAAUAAAAUCAUAUAGGUUAUAAUAUAAAUUAUAUUUACUCAAAAAAUGUCUGAAAACAUAUUAUUAUUUUUUCGAGCAUAAUAAUGUAUUUUAAAAAAUGAUACAAUAAUUAAUAUUCAUUUAUUUAUUUUUUGCUUUCAUUUUUAUAUUAUCCAAAUAUUUGUUAGUAAUAUUUUUUCGUAAUUUGGAAAUCUAAUUUCUUGGAGAAAAAAAACAUUAUUCCAGACUCUUUACUAAUUCCUGAUUUCCUUCUUAAAUAUGCUAAUAAAAUUACGCGCUCGAGUUCAGUUGGGCUUUGAAGGAUUCAAAACGCUGCGUUUCAUCGCCAGAGUGGUUCCUCGGCAAUUUUCUCACGAGCCAAACAGAGCUUCCAUGGAAGAUAAAGUUAUGAAAGCAACGCAGGAGCUAGCAUUGGAAGGGCAGAAGCAUCUUGAAGAAACCAUAGAAUCAGCGUUCCAGAUCCUGUCCUCCAUGAACGACGAGCUCUGCAACCCUACUCUUUGGUCAACUCCUCCGCCUCCGGCCACCGCCGCCAGUUCCCACUCCUCCGCAUCCCUAAAUGGGGACGCUUCGUCUGAUUUCUCGCACCACAUGGAGAUUGCCGGUGGUGGAGCUCUCGACGACGCUCGCCUUCGCUACAAAUCCUCCGUGGCUUCGCUGCGUGCUGUUCUCAACGCAAUCCAAAGUUCUCAAAAGGUGGAUUCGGAACCCUAGAUUUAUGCAAAUUUGGGCCUUCAUGUUCCCACUUUGCAAAUUCAAGGUUUAUUUUUAAUUUUCUUGGAAUUUAGCGAAAUUCAACGUGAAACUUUGGGUUUUGGUAUGGUAGUUCGAAAAUUCUCGACGAGUGACAGCUUCAAGCAAUCACAUUUCAAAUUCCAUGCUGCAUUGAAUUUUCAUGUCCAUUUUUCUGGAAAUUUAAAAUUUUCCUUCUAAUGGAACUCUAAUUUUUUAUUUGAUUGUAAUGCAUGAUCAUUAGGUCAUUUUAAUAACCAUAAUCUAACGAGUAAUGUAGAAUUGGUAUGAGAAAAUGGAACACAACUUGUCACGUUUGGAUUGUUCAUGAGAUUUCAAUCCCAAUCAUAUAUGCUCCUCUCUUAUUUCUUCAUACAACAAACACUUUAAUUUAGGUUACUGAAAAAAAAAAAAAAUAACAACAACAACAACAACCACCACCACCACCAUAGAAGCUACUCUUUGAAGUGGUCCGAUAAGUUUUAUUUCAGAAAUGUGUUAUAGUAUCUUCACUGGUAUUGCUAAAAGCAUAAUAGCAAAGACUUGGCUUUUAGUAAAUGAAGUUAUUAGAAAUGGGGAAGAAUCUUGCAAGGCUAAGGACAACAAAUCUUUAAAAGGAAUAAUAAUAAUAAAAAAUCGAAAACCAGGUGUAGAACAUCAGUUCAAUUCCCUGUACUUAUAUAGUAUUACAUGCUUGAUGAGCAAGAUAGCCUACUUCAUUAAUUUCUUGAGGGAUCUUACAAUGUGGUACUCACCAAACUAACUCAACGAAGUCUUGGUGAUGCUAUUUAGAGAAUAAACAUGGAGGUUUAUAUAAAAAAUUGAGUUGGGGAAAGCUCUUGAAUUCAAACUUUAUAGUACUGGUAAGGUAUAUAUAAAAAAUGUUUGUGUGUGCGUACAUCUGGAAAAGUUUGGAUUCCUGUUUCCGAAACUGUGAGUGUUUUGUUGUUACCAUAUGACAUAUUUGGCUUCCUCUAAUAUUUUUGUGUCUGCAAAGAGAAUUUGGAAAAUUGGGUGAUAUUUUGGCAAAUGUUGUUAAAAUUUAAGACCAUGUUUUUAGAUGACAUCUUUUGAUUAAGUUAACAUAGUGAUUAUGUGUCUUAAAAUAGGCAAAAGCAUUUGAAGCAAGUUCGGCAGCAAGUGGUUCAGCGUCUCAAGCGGAUCAAGCUGAAAUUGAGAAGUUAGAGGAGCGUGCCUCUAAUUUAAGAAAGGUAUUCAUAAUAUGCAGUAAAUUCAUAUCAGUGAAUCUCCUAGUCUUUAGGUUUAGGUUUUCUUCCUUGUCUUGGAUUGGUUGUUGAGGGAUACUCUCAUUGAGGGUUAAGGUUGGAUUAAAAAAGGUGCAUGUUUCAAACUAAUCCAAUCUGGUUUACUAGGGGGAAAAGGGCGGACUCUAUGUUUUCCUAGUAGAGGGUCCGAGUUUGCAUGGGAAGCUUUGCGUCUUGUUUUAACAUGCCUUAAUUAAUCUUAAUUCUAAAGAACCCUGUUUCUUCUUUUAUCUUACAUAUGCUGCUUAAGCUUCUUCUGAUUGGUGAUUCUUAAAAUGUAGGAGCUUGCAGACAAGAACAAGUAUCUCAAGCUUCUCAUAGAUCAGCUUCGAGAUCUCAUUACAGACAUAUCGACAUGGCAAAGUCCGUGUUCUGUGUGAAGUUCAGAACACAUGUGCUUGUCUCACUGAGUAGCUCCUGAGAUUAGACCCUUGAGUCCAAGAAUACUCCUGAGGUUAUUGUUCUUUUGUCAUUAGUGUUGGCAAUGAAAAAGGAAAAGCAAAAAAAUCAUUCAUUGGAGAUGUUUCUUCAAUCUGAUUCAGGAAUGUGAUUUUUCCCAAACAGAAAAUUUGAUGUUUAUGGUGAAAUGCUAUAUAAAAAUAGAGCUUUGUGGCUCUUUAAAUUUCCUAGUUUGUUAAAUGCUGUAGACAAGGUAGUUGACAAAUUGCAGAAUGAAAAGUUUAAUUCAUUGUCUUAUGGUCUUUAGUUCUACUAGUUCAUUCCUUUGCUUUAUUGAUAGAUGAGAGAAAUGACUCAAAAAAAUAAAUAAAUAAAUAAAUAAAAUAAAACAAAAUAAAAUAAAAGAAACCUCAAUCUAUGUAAUGAGGUCCAAAUCUCAGGAAUUUGAUCCCCACGGCUAGCUUGAGCAGGUUCUCGAGCUGUUCCUCAGGAACAUGUUAGCUAAAACAUGAGCAUUAGCAUGUUUACUUGAUCAGCAAGUUGGGAAUCUUUCUGGUUUUCCCAGUCCAAGUUUGAUGACCUAAUGACACCGUAUAGAGUAGAUUUUGUGCAACAAGUUACUGCUUUUUAGCCAAUUGUCCUGAGCUCAUUUAGGCAUUACUCUUGCUCGGUUAAGACCUACUUGAAUUCUUGAUGGUAUAUCUUGCUUCUGCAUUGCCAUUCCAUAUCACGUCACAGUAACAAUGGUUGUCUUUAAUGAUUUCAUUAUAUUGUGAAUAAUUUUCUGUUUUCGAAUUAUAUGCAGUAAAAUCUUGUCACCUAUGCUUCUUUUGUUUGGAGGAAAGAAUGAAACCUUGGACAAGGAAGUAUCUAUAUUGUCGGAUAUCUAAGAAUCUGCAGAAUGUGAGAUAAACAGGACUAUAGACAGCCAGCCCAUUCGCCAAUAAGGGACUCUCCUGACCCGAAAUGAUAAUUAUUGAAAUAAUUCCUGGCAGGAACUCCUUUUCACUGUUAGGGACGAUUACAGAAUUUAUUCUUCACAAAGUAUGUGAAACCCAUGUGGAUUCUUGCUCCUUUUUCUGCUUUCUGAAAGAUGUCCUCCGAAUACUAACUUUAACAGCUUUCCAGAAUUUGUGAGACUCUACAGGGUUGGAAAAUGUUCUCUCUCCCUGUUGUCUUGCUUUAUUUAUUUAUUUAAUUGUACCCUUGGAACACAGAUUUUGGCUGCAUGUUUCCUAUCAGAGCAAGUUUACAUCAUUUGUUUUGGAUUUUAUCGAACAAGGAUUGUGAAUAUUUGUCUCACUAGCUGCUGACUUCCUGUCUUUUGAUCUCAUGAAAUCCCAUAUAUGGUUGGAUGCCUAGUUGAAAUUAUGCCUUGCAGAUUUGAAUAUUUUGAUUGUAGAAUUCAAAGGAGACAACCCGUGUACUUAGUUCAAAGCAUUCAGGAUUUUUCAUGUGAUUAUGCAUACUACCUACCACCUGCUUUGUUGAAAAAUGGCAUUUGGGAGAUCGAAAGGUUGAUUAAGUCGAUAAUUAAAUUCUCGGGUUAAUCCUUUUCGGGCAUAUGAGAAUGGGACAUAAAUACUUCAAUGCAUUUUACACUAAAGCUUGUUUUAUUACAACUGUGUUGGAUUCAAUAAGAACGAGUCUAUACAACGGCAUACUAAUAGUGGACUGAAGGUUGAGUUGUGAGGGAGGACCUCAUGUCUACAAUGGCAGACUCGUCCGCCCCCAUUAUGAAGGCUUGUCUGCUCGCUGUUUUGAACCUUGCAACGGCUCCUAUCACAUAAUCACGGCCUUCCUUCACCGUCAUGUUCUUGAACAGCUCAUCUGGGAAGCUGGUCAAGUGGUGAUCGCCCUUAAGAACGGCUGCUAAUUGGACUAUUUCAUUUUGAAACUCAGACAGUUGCCGGUCUUCAUCUGCUUCUGUUUUCCUCAGAGGAGUCACUUCUGGGAGGGUCUCUGCAACAAAAUCAUACACAAUUGCUUAGAACUAGAACUACAUUUCUCUGAUGAAUUCAUUCAAGAGUACUUGAAGGAAGGACAGGAAGGGUGGUUGCCUGGGCAGUCAGUUCGGGGAGAAGUUAACUCCCCAACGACAGACUCAAAUGUGCCGGCCCAAGCAUCUCUGUGAGUCAAGAAGUUCGAUGGCAGGUUGUACAUUUUCUUGAUGGUGGCAGGGAUGGAAGAGUGCUCGAAUUCAGAGUUCUCAGCAGGCCCAUUUGGGCGAGUCACAACUACAGAAACAGCCCAGAAACACAAAAAUGCAGAUCAACACAAUAGAAUGGUCGAUAAAAUCAUCAAAAUGCUUGCAGAUGCAGACUCAAAUGGACUUACUAGUUCCUUUCUUGAUCCAAGGAGAGACCAUGAUUGUAGGAACCCGAACCCCGAGGCGAUCGAACUUGAAGAAAUCAGGAGCAGGGCCAGUGUUGCCAUCAGGACUAGGGACAUUGUCUACAGGGGUUUCAACAUGAUCAUAGAAUCCACCAUGCUCAUCAUAAGUAAUGAUAAAAAGGGUCUCAUUCCACUGAGGACUGGCCCUCAAGGUCUCGUACACCUGCUUCACAAGUUUCUGCCCAUUGGCAACAUCAUGAGAGGGGUGAUCAUCGUUUGCAGGCAAUAUCUUGAUAUCAAAGUACCUGGGCUCAAUCACUGUUAGGCUGGGCAGCUUGCCCUUUUCAGCAUCCUUCUUGAAGUGCAAAUCAUAGAGGCGGAACUUGGAGGAAUACUUGAGCUGCCUCAUAUUCCUAUAAAAAAAUAUUGUGGGGGCUUCUUGAAAGUAUAUGCCAAAGUCCUUACCAUUCGCAUGGAGUGAAUCAAAUAUGGUUUUUUGUGGGAAACCUUUUAUCAAGUUCUCCUUCACAUGGCUUACAGCACCAUGGGAAGUUCCAGAGUAGACAAAGAGUCUGUUGGGUUGUGUUGGGCCAGGAAGUGCAGAGAACCAUCUGUCAAAAACUGCAAACUCCUCCACCAGCUUGGCGUAAACUGGGACUGAUUCUGGCUUGAAGCCUUUCAUGACUGUCUCAGAGAGUUCUUUGGACAUGGUGAGGGCUUGUUCGACAAAGCCAAUCAUUGAAGGAGUGGUGCCAGAGCCAAACACCUGCUGUUUCACUGCUACAAAGGAGUGACCUGGAUCUGGAUCCACAUAUUCUGCAUCAUCUUUGAAGCAGAUUGUUUCUUCGGAUGGAUUCUUGGUAGAAACUGGGUUGCAUUCUUUGCCUGUGACUCCAUUGAUUGCUGAGUUGGAUCUCUUCAUCCAUCCAAGCAUGUGAUCGAAGGACCUGUUCUCCAUAACCAAGACCACAAUGGUCUUGAUGCGUUGGUCCUGUGCUGCAACCGCACCCAAAUGGGCAUCUUGGAAAACACUUGAAAGUGUGAGAAACAGAAAGAAAAUGAAGGAAAAGGGAGGCCCUCUGGUACUGAAACCCUUCCCCAUCCUUGAUUCUCAACUGAAUCCUUCUCUUUGCCAAAUGGGUUGAUAGUGUAUAGCUUUAUGUAUCCUCUGUCUCUUAUUAGAUGUCCUCACCCAUAAUUAAGAGCGCAAUCUCCACCAUUUAUGACUGUUGCACUUUAUUGGAAAAACCACAAAGAAAGAGAAGUGCCGGCUUAUGAUGAUCUCACCUUGCAAACUGAUUUGAGAUAUGAAAAGGAAACCCAAUUCCUUCUUCAAUUUAGCAUUCACACUCCCUUUCAAUGCUGCUUUUUAUUUUAUUUUAUUUUAUUUGUGGGGAUUUCCUCUUUUUUUUUAUUUAUUAUUAUUAUUAUUACAUUUUUUCCUUAAAUUCACUUUUCUAUAUAAAACUGAUGUAAUCUUUCAUUGCAACCUCUAUAAACUAUCCACCCACAUUCACAAGAGUCACAAGAAUCCAACCCCCGCUAGGAAGUAUCUCUUUCCAUAUUAACCACAGAGUCAAAACACAAAGAUUUUGAGGAUUUGAUGUCCAAAUGACUAGUGGGUUUUUGUCACAAAAAAUGGAUCUGAUAUUAACAUUGAGGGAGAUAAUACUUGGCACAGUGUUCAAUAAGUAAAAAUUUCUCUCAAGAAAAUCAGUCUUUGCUGGCCUUUCUGAACAUUAAUGGUGUUCCAUCCAUGGCCUCAUUUGGAACCCAAUUAAAUAUUUGAUUAAAAAACAAAUGUAUUAAAUGUUUGACUAUGUUUCAUUUAAGAUAAUGGUGUUUUCUAGAAAACUAUUCUUGGGAAAAUCCAUGAAAAGACAAAACAUAGAAUGCAAAAUCACAUGCCAUAUGAAGGGGUGGUGGUGGUGGAUACAUCCACUGGAUUGGAGCCAGGUCUUCCUCUUGGUGGCUAGUGGCCGUGGCCACCACACAUCACAGCCACAAAUAUAGACAAAAUCACCACCAUUACAUGUAUGCAGCUUUUUGAAAAGAAUGGAAUCAUCUACUAACUUUAGUAGAAAAAAUGCUUCUAAAAAGUGAAAAUGUUUUUAUAUUAAUAUACCUAAUAGUAAAAUGGCAUGCAUGUGAGGCAAGGGAUUUUUCUUUUGAAAAUUGGUAUCAUUUUUCUUUUCUUUUGAAAAAAAAAUACUUAAAUAUUGGGUUUAAAGCCUUAUAAGAGUGGACUUUUUUACCCUUAUUAAAGAGAGAGAGAGAGAGAGAGAGAGAGAGGAGGAUUUGAAGGGGAAACAUAAUAUUUAAGGGUAUUUAGAUAUAGCUUUUAGGUGGGGUUACUAACUUUUAUUUUUGUUUUUAAGGUGGUAUUAAAAUUAGAUUCAUAAUUGAAGAAUUUUAUUUAUAUUUUGAGUGGUGUUUAGUAGUGUUUCUAUUCAAAAUGGUUUUAAUAGAAGUAAUUUUUUAUUAAAUAUAUAUAUAUAUAUUUAGAAGAAUCAUUUGUCAAGCAUUUUUUUUUUUAAAUAUUAUAAAUAAUUUUUUAAAAUUUUAAUAGUAUUUUUAAAAUUUUACCAAACAUCUCAUUUUUCUUUUAAAAACAUUGUCAAGCAAACUCUUACUCAUAAGCUAAUUAUUUAAAAAAAAUAGAAAAAAAAAAUAUAAAACAAUCACAAUAUCUUCUUCAAUCUUCACCUUUUUUAUCAAUCUUUAAAUUCAAAGAUAAAUACAUGAAUAUAAUAGAAGAUAAUAAAAAAAAAUUGGGAAGGUAGGGAGAAUAUAGAAUGUAACAAAUUGGUAGAACGAAAGAGAAAGGAAGGUAAGGAAAUGGAGAAGGAAGAUAGAAUAUCGAAAUAAAUAGAUGAAAAAAUAAAAUAUUUUUAAAAAUAUGGAAAUUAUUUUAUUUCAAAGUAAUUUUUAGAUACAAUGAAAAUAGUUAUUAAAAACUAUCCUUAACCAACCACCUCUAAAUGGAACACAUUGAUAGGCAUGCCACCACCUUUUUUUCUUUUCAAUUCUUUAUCUGCACAACAUCAUCAUCAAGAUUCAAGAUGAGCAAAUAAAAAGGAAAAGAAAGAAAGCAUGGGUGAGGGAAAAGAGGAAGUGGAAGUGGUGGGCAAGAAGUCAAAAAAAAAAAUAAAGAAGAAAGAAAGAAAGAAAGAAAGAAAAAAAGUAAAUAAAUAAAAGAAAGAAGAAUUGACAGUCACUGUGUUAGGUUGGGUUGGGGCAGGUGGGCCGGGGGCCCCACACACCGACAUGGGAUGAGGCCUGGCGAUAUGGGCCGGGAGGCCCAGACACCAGCUGUAAAUGAAUGGAUUUGUGUGUAUCAUUUAGUUGGGGAUCAUUGAAAUGAAAUUAUAUGAUAUUAGAUUUAAUUCACAUUCUAUAGUUGACCCAUUCUUUUCCAUCUCCCCAUUUGGGAUAUGAUAGAGGUGGGGUUGAUGCAAUCAGCUUUACAUCAACCAAUCCCAGAUUUUUUUUUAGUAAUAUUUUAUAAAUAUUUACAAAAAGCAGUGUGAAUAUUAGAAAGGAUAUGUAAUGUGCAACACUCUUACCAUCUAAAUGGACAUAUAGGUCGAAAUCAUCUUUUGAAAAGCUAAAAAUGUCAUUCCUCUCAUCUAAUAAGGAUUAAUCCAUUCCUAAUACUCACUCAUUUCCAUAUACUACAUGUAAUGUCAUCUCCAUUUUCAUUUUAAAACCCUAAAUUUGCAGUACUCAUCAAUAUCGUUGCGACUAUCACAUUGAAAGAUGGUGUUCGAACGAAGGUGAAGGUUUAAAGAAUAGGUAGAAUAUGAGGAAGGAUUGAUUUUCUUGAUUUAGUCAAAUUAAGUUCAAACUUCAAAGUAUGCAUGUAUUAAGUUGUUAAUAAGAUCAUCCAAACCUAGAAAAAUCCAAACAAACUUUUCUUUCACUCAUGCAACAAAAAGUUGCAGUAUCUUUUAAUGGUGAAGAGCCUAAUCUAAGCUAGAUGGCCGAGGAUGACAAUUUUGCUGAGUUGGAAGAGAACAUCAACCUAAAGACUUGAUAUGUAAAAUUUUAUGAAGGAAAUAAGAAUUUCUUGGCAAAGAUUGAAGCAAUUUGCUAUUGUGUGUGAUUGAAAUGAUGCAUUUUCUUUGAUGUUUUGAUUUAGAUUUUAUUUUAUUUUACUUUUUCUUUUCUUACUUUCUUCUCUCUAUUUUGUCUCACAUUUUUUUCUCAAAAUUUUCAAAAAUACUAUUUUGUUCUCUUUUGAGAACAUGUUUUAGAAAACACUUAAUUCAGACAAAACCAAGCAAGUCCUCCUGUCCAUAAUAGCUUUUGGUGGAGCCUUUUGAAUGUGUAUGAAAACCUAAACCCCACGUUUUUCACAAACCAAUGCAAAAACAUAUUUUUAUCUCACUAAAUAUUUUUUAAAUAAUUUUAAUAAAAACAAUUUUAAAGUACAAUUCCCAAGCAUCACACAAUAAUAACCCUUCAAACAUAAAAAAACCAAUCAUACAAGUCACAUCAACCCUAGUGGCUUUGGCUUCUUCCAUAAAAGGCACUAGCUUUUGACAACACCUAAAGAAACUAACCCAAAAGGCUCGAUCAAAAACACACAUUCCUUUUUGUCUCAAAAUCAACGGUAUAUCCAGUGAUGUUAAAGAGCAUUGUAAAUGAAUUGGUAAAUCUAGGAAUUUGGGUGGGUAUUGAGAAGCCCAGGUUUUUAUUAUAGACAACAAAGAACUCCCAGUGGUUCUGCUAUCUGCAAAACCUUCUGUGAAAAGAAUACACCGCAAGAAGCAACAGGCAACAGUCACAUAUUCAAAAACAAUGCAACAGUAGCAGGCCCAGCACCAGAUAAAAAAAAUUAUGACUUUUUUCUCUCUUACUAUCCCCCCUACAGAAAAACAGAUAUCGAGCCCGUGCUUGACCCCAAGAACCCCAAUUCCGAUUUGGCCCACUCAUCUGCUUCUUUUUCGGCAAAAUCAUUGUAUAAAACUUAUAAAAUAUUUAACAAUAAUCAGUUACUGGAUCUCUUCAGGUAGGCUAAUAAGCCCAUCCCAGCUACAAAUGCGGCGCCUGCUGCAACGGCACUGUAUGCAGAAGCCCAUGCUUCUCGCUGAGCAUACUCCAAACCUCCAGUUCCAGAGUCCCUUCUAAGAGGGCGGGUCCCCGAGUAAUCUAAAUGUAGUCUUAAACCCUGUUGAAGGCCAUUAACCAGAUAUCAGUCUUUGUUGAGCUACAGUAAUAGUAUACUUAACCUAAUCUAGAAAUACAAUGUCUGUUACAGCAGGUGGGUUAGCUUAAAACAGAUGUUUCAGGGUACCCUUGUCAUGGGAUAGGCCCGAUAGUGUGAAUUUCUUCUGGGGUAAACCGUCCAAUUUUACUAGAACAGGUAGCAUAAGGAAUUAAGGGUUGGGUGAUAAGUCCACCAUACCUUCCAACCUGCUAACCUAGCAUGCUCCAUGGCUGCCACAAGAUCAUUAUCUGAUGCGAGUACUACUUUGUCAUGGUCUUCAUCUUCAUACUAUAGAAUGUAGCCAUUGAUAGAAUUAAUGUUUGUAGGCAUAAGGAGAAACUAAAAAACCAAACUGACAAAAAAAAGGAUUUUAACACGUACCAGAAUUUGCGGCAGGUUGUUGCGAUCGAUGUCAUCACCCACUCUCUGAAGGAUUGAAGUUAUGACAUCUGUCAAACUCCGGGUAUCUGAGCUCAAAAGCAGGAACCAAAAAUCCCGUAAAAAUCAACAAUAAUAAAAUUUAGAUGCCAGAAGUGAACCUGGCAUUAUUUAGCCUAUCCUGAAUCUAUACCAAAGCCUGACCCAAUGUGAUACCAUAUUUAGUUUCUACACUAAAAACUAAAAUCUAAUAAACAGCUGAGGACUGUGAGUUCAAAACAUGGAUCAUCAUCUAAAGGGUCAGUUUUUGGCAUGAGUCAGCCACAUGUAACGGUGGUGACAUGAUGGUCCAGUCUACAAGCUGCAUAAUGGGCAGCUAGCACUACAGAAGAUCAGAAGAUGACAUAACAUCCACAUAAUUGGUCCCUCAAAAAUAUGAGCAGGAAAAGUAGCAUACCACAGGUAAACCUAUGCAUCCGUCCUCUUUUAUCUUCAAUUUUGAAAGCAAAGGUGUUAUGCAUGGCUGAUGAAGUAUAAGGAAGAGUUCUCCCUAUUUCAGUUCCUUCAGAAGCCAAUUUCAAGGAACCCUCACUGAGAUGUUACCAAUGAAGUGUAAGAAAUAAAAUCAGUAUCAGAUCACAAACAUAUCAGCAUAAUAACAUCAAAGUCAAUAACCUCCGUGUUUCUUCGUCAUCAUCAGUUCCUAAUGCCAUGGCUGAGUCCCAGAACUUCUGCAUCAGACUGCUUGCAGCCUCAUUAUUAACUCCAGCAUUGCCUCCCACCUGGUUAAGACAGAAAAAUGAGUAUUCUCCACAGUAAAAAUAUUACAUAAAUUCUGAAAAAAAAUAAAUAAAUAAAUGGUAGCACAUGUUUCUUGAGAAAGGAAAUUUCACAUCAGAAUCUUCUGAUAAAGAUUCUAGGUAGGUCAUUGGUAUAUAUGCUUGAUUUACUACCCAGUAUGAAUAAUUGAAUUUCAACAAAUAUAUAUAUAUAUAUAUAUAUAUAUAUAUAUACUGACAAAUUUCUUGAAGAUGUCAACCUCAAGUAGUUGGAAUACUGCUUUACUUAGAGUUUGUCAUAGAAUCAUAAGAACAUCCCUUCUUUAUUUUUAGCAGAGGCUAAGUUUUUCAUAUAAACUUAUAGAAUAUGCAACAGUACAAGACUGACAAGUAACAGAAAAGUAAAGGAAAAACCACAGGAAAUGGAAAGAAAUGGGAUAAUCCUAUCCCAAGUUUGGUUGGUGAUGUAAUAGAAUAAGUUAUCUCAUCACUUAUCCUAUUCUAAGUUCAACCAAACAUGGGAUAAGAUAAGUAAUGGGAUAUAUCAUCCACCUUUUUUUUAUAUCCCCUUUUACAUAGGUUAUGUUAAUCCUAAAUUAAGAUAUAGGAUAUAAUAUAAUAUCUCAUGUAUCAUAUAUUUAUUUUUGAUCAAUUUUUUUUUUUUUAUGCUACUUAUUUUGCAAAAUAUAUUAGUUUUAUAUAUUGAAGAACAUAAUAUUAUAAAGUUUAAAUAUUUUAAUCAUGAAUAUUAUUAAAUGUAAAAGAAAUUUCAUAUUUGUUUUAAACAAAAAAUAUUGGAAUGUAAUAUAAAUUUUAUUUUAAACAUUGAAAAAUAAUAUAUAUUUCAUUUUACAAACUAAAUAUAAACAUAACAUGACAUAUCCUAUUAGAUUUGCUACCUUAGGAUAUCAUGUUCAUUGGAUAUAAUUUCCAAGGAUAUCAUAUCCAAUUGGAAAUGAUAUUCUAGGAUAUGUGAAUUCUAUUUAAUGGGAUAUGAUAUCCUAAGAUAUGCAUAUCCUAUCAAUUAAACAUAACCUAAGAGAAGGUGAAUAAGAACUUAUAUGUUAAAACCAAGGAAAAAGGGGAAGCAGUAUACAAGAUUAGUGGAUGUUCCAAAACUAUCCAGGACCGUAUUUCACUGGGAGACAACAAAAGAUGGCCAGCUGAUGAAUUGAUAAAUUGUCUCCAGUCUCAAACUUUCAGGCAGUCCAUAAGCAGGUCAUAUGGUUUUCAAAAGAGCAUUGCUUUGGCUAACAAAUAGUUUUUGAGUGUCCAUGAAAGUAAAAGUUUUGGCCUACUCUUACUCUUAGAAAGUGCAAGGCUCAUCCAAAUAGUUGUGGUUGAUUAUAGAGUGAAACUCAGCAUCAAGUCAUCACUCAAGUUCUGUCUGCUGUUUAAGAUGCCCCCAUCUAAGAAACAGUUCAAAAUAACUUCCAGGGAAGCCUCCUUGAGUUCAAUUGAUCCCAAUUUCUGUAGUUUCUCAAGAACCAUCUAUGUUUUGUUUGCUAUUCUCAAGUUUCUUCUUAAAAAAUCCAGCUUGGAAUCCAUUUGGGAAUUUACUUAUCAGUGUAUAUAUAUAAAUUUCAGAAUUACGUUUUUUCUCCCAGAACUCAAUAAAGACUCUUUCAACUUAAGCUUCCAGUUUCAGACCUGUGUCUUUUUUUUUUCUUUUUCUUUUUUUCUUUUGAUAGGUAAUCAGACCUGUGUCUUUUCUAAUGGUUUGUUAUCUUCUAGACCAUAUUUUCUGGAUAUGGUUUCUUGCUUAUAUAUUUUUACCUAUAAAAAAAAAAAAUCUUCUAGAUAUGGUUUCUACAUCCUUCUGCUCAUCACUUCUUUGCUGAGAUGCUUUAAUUUCCAAGUCAAAGGCUUAGCAGAACAGCAGCUCAAGAAAAGAACUCUAGUAGCAUGCUUCAAAAAACAACCAGAAAUCCAAUCUCCUCAGCAUUCUGUAAUUUCCAAAAUGAUGGAUAAAUAUUACAUCUGCAAUUACACAUCUUCCAGACUGCUGCUUAGUACUGGUCCAACUUACCUGCAUUCUGUCUAUGAAGCAUUGGAAGCAAGAUAGCUCCUUUGCUGCCCGCUGCUGAGAGGAGCAACACUUGCUAAGGCACAAUUUGACCUCUAAACAAUCCCUGAAUCAAAUCUUGAAGAACAGCAGAGAACAGAGUCAUCUGUAGCAAUACACCUCAGGGGCCUUUGGGCCUUUCACGAGUAGAAACACAUCUUGAGAUCUUGCUUCUCCAGUUUCAAUGGCUCAUGAGAUAAAUGGUUGUGCAAUAGCACUUUGCUUUCAAUUGGUUGACAUAGAAAUUGAGGAAUAAAAGCAUCUCAGAUAACUAUUCAAUUAUCCCUUUGAGUGUUAAAUCUGUUCACGAAAAGUUUGUUUAAAUGUAUCUUCUUGGUUCCAAGUGACAGGAUGCCACCAUAACUUGUAAGAUAUUGGGAUGCAUUUCUGGCCACCACUUGGUAUUGUGAUUAUUUGUUUAUUUCAUAAGAGCUAUCUCCCAAGGACUUCUCAAGUUUAAUUUCAACAUAAGUUUUUGGGAACCAAGGUCAAUCCAAUUUGGGUGCAUCAUUCUAGUUCCAUUUUUUCUUUUUUUAAUAGGUAAAAACACAAUAGUAUAUAUAUGAAGGGAAAAGGGUGCCCAAAGGACAACCCAAAACAUACAGGAAGUACACAUCAUGCACCUGACAGUGCAUCACUUUAGUUCUGUUUAGUUCCAUAUAAGAUCAUGGAUUAAGAAUUACGUUCACUUUUCAUAAAGUUCUUGGUGUAUGAGAAACUAAUAAAGUCAAUAAAAGAGCACUUCUAUUUGGAUUGAAGAAGCUUAAAAAAACUAAGUUUUCUCUAAACUUGUUGAGUGUAAUCGCUCCAUCAUCAAUAACAGGUUAGAGAAGUGGCACAAGAAAAGUUUAAACAUAGUUCCUUCAUGCUGUCUAAAAAAUUUAGGCUUACAAUGCCACAGAAAUCAUGCAGGAUUACUUUUGACUGUAACUGAUUAGCCAUAUUAAAAAUAGUGAAAGAAAAGUACGGACUUGACUUACUGUAGCCACAGCUGCAUGAGUGAUAUGGAUUACAUCAGCAACAGCAACUACACCACCAUCUGCAUCCAGCCAUCCAAACAUAAAUAAACCAAGAUGAGAAAUCAAAAAAUAUAGGUAUAAGUUUAGCUCUUAAUAUAAAGCAUGUUACCUCUAUCAAUGACAGGAAGGUGUAAAAAUUUCCCAUCAUGCAUGGUAUGUAGGGCAUCAACAAUGGGUGUAUCAAUUGUUGCACAUUCUGGAUUUGGAGUCAUGACCUGAACAUGAAAUAAAAAAAGUUAUAUUCAGAGUUAAAUGUCAUUAUCCUUUUUGUUCAUAAGAGAGUUUAUCAUGAAGAAUUCACAGACAAUAGGCGACACAUUUAUAAUCAUUUCUAGCAAAGUUUAAGGACACAACGAAUUGGAUUUUAUUUUGACAGAAAGGCUGGAGACAAAUACCUUCUCCACUGGAGUGGAUUCUGGAUGAAGAUUUUGUGCUAUGACCCGCAUCAGGAUAUCCUUUGAACUGACAAAAGUGUUAAAUGGAGAGGAUUCAUAAUCUAAGUGAAAUAUAAGCUAUAGAACUUUAACACAAAUCUUCAUUUCAAAGUAAAAGGAGAACUAUCUCCAUUUGAAAGUAAAAGGAGAACUGCAAUGUGCAAUUUUAUCGAAGAGAGACUCACGUUAGAAUCCCCUUUGGUCUGUUUUCAACUGCUACGACUGCACAACUUAAUUUAAGUUCAAGCAUCUUCUUUGCUGCUGUUAGAACUGUGUCAGUUGGUGAGACUGUUACAACCCUGAAAGAUUCCAUGAUAUGUUAAAUGAAAGUAAUUGUAUUAUAGUUUGAUAGUGAAAGCUAUACAAAGGGCCAUUUGAAAAACCAAAUGAAUAAAUAUAAAUAAAGAUAUUCUGUAGCAUAGUUUCAUAGUAAAAGCUAUAAAUGGCCAUAUGAAAAACCAAAUGAAUAAAUAUAAAUAAAGAUAUUACCUACUUUGAAUUCUCGGGGAUGAUCGUGGACAAAGCAGGCCUAAACAUCCUCUCUCGAAGUGUCUCAAUGAAUGUGCUAGGACCUGUACAAAACCAACAAUUGCAGUAGGAAGUGAAACUCCUAUCUCUCCAAAAAAAGGCCAGCUAAAAUUUUCAGUUUUGUGGUCAGGAGCCAAUACAUAACUCAAGGAUAUCCAAGAAAAGAUCUUUGAAUGUCAAAUAAAUUAACAUUAUUUAACAAUUUAAAAUAAGAAUGAAUUCUUAUAGAAUGCAAAACGAAAAAGAAAAUGAUGACAGAUUGAAUAGAGUUUUUUAAAGUAUCGUUCUCCACCAACCAGAGAGAGAUGUCCCCCAAUUUUUUUCAACUCCUUCAACAGCAGCAGCAAUGGCUUUUCCCUUUUCAGCUGCCCUCUCCAUUCGAGCAAUAGCAUCAUAUAAACACUUUGCUAUGUCUAGUAAAGCAAUGACCUCCCCAUUCUCUACAACAGGCAAAUGUCUGAACUUUCCUGCAAAAAAUCAGCACAGUGUUCAGUUGGCAAGUUGUAGAAUAGCAUGUUGGAUGGAAAAAGUAAACAUGGUUUUCAGGUUAUCAGCAACCUUGCACCAUCUUUUGCAGGGCUUCCACAGCAAGAGUAUCAGAAAGAACAAAAAUUGGGUUCCUUGUCAUAACUUUGGAGACUGGUGUUUCCUCAAGAUUAAGUUCACGAGCAAUGACUCUUGUUGCUAUGUCCUUCAGCCACAAAAGGGAAUGGUUUUGUGAAACAAGUAAAGCCAUAAAAAUCCAGGUAAAUGUAGCAUGCAAGUUUUUUUGGCUUGGCAGUAUAUCUCACUAGUAAUUCAAGUCAAACCUUGUCUGUAAGGAUUCCACAAAGUAACGCAUUUGAAUCAGUUAACAAUAAGGCAUCAACUCUACGAGCAGCCAUACGGCGGCAAGCUUCAUAAAUACUUGUGGUGUCAGGAACUGUCAGGGCCCUUGACAGUCGCAAUCUCUUCACUGUACGCUCUCCAGUCAGUCCCCUAUUUCAAAUACAAGUGAUAUUGGAAAAUUUUGUUACUAAGAUUUAAAUAUAUGAACAUUUUAUCUUAAUUUUAACCCUUUUUUUUUUCUUUUCUCUUUUUGGUUUAUGGUGGAGACUGUAACACACAUUAACAUCUUGUGUUUGUGUCUUUAAUUACGGUUUUUCAAAUCAAGUUGCUACUAUCCAAAGUCCAAAGCAAAUAAAAAGGUUGAGGUUUUCAAAUAAAUAAAAAACAAGAAAAACAAAUCUAUGGAUAAGACAGUCCAUACAAAAUCGAAAAAGGUAAAGAGAACGCAUAAGCACAAAGAUAUAGAUAAAUAAAUUUAAAAAAAAAAAAAAAACAGUCAAUGGCACAUACUAUUUGUGAAUUCCGACUUAGAAAAUGGGCAGAACAUCCUGGGCAUGGAGGAAGAUGUAGUGCCACGCUAAUAUAACUUCCUAAUUCAGAUAAAUUGUACUCACUAUUAUGCUAAGAUAACCUCCAUGCACAUAACUAACCAUCUAUAAGGGAGAAGCCAACAGCAGUUGCGAAUCUCAGUUCUCAAGUACACUCCAUGUCCCAAUUAUGGCAGGACUCAGUGUCCUUCCUAGUAAGAAAGGGUCUACAUGGUAUGUUUUCCAAUGAAAGGACGCUAUGAAUGCCAAUCCUAAGUACUCUAACAGUCAUGUGAAUUCAUACAUAGAUAAACUUAUAAGAUAAAAUAUUCUUAAGUGCCUCAAAGCCAUCAACUUUGGCUUCACCAAUCCAUCUGGAUUCAACAAUAGGCAAACUUCAUGAGAAUGAUUCCUUUCCCAUCAGCCCCAAAAGUGUGAUAUGAUGACCCACCUGAAAAUCCAAUCAGCCCUAUCUGUAAAUCUUUUCCUCCCCCUUUAAACUAAUACUCCAUUUGAUUGCUUGAAAUCAAAGAAUGUGUGACAUAAAGACCUAAAAACAGGUUGUGGUUGCAGAAACUAUUCCAAAAAUCCUUUUUUUUUUCCUCCCAUUCCUUCUGGACAACCAAACAGAGCAUUUUUUAACUUAUGUUAAAAACAAAAAAAAAUAAAAAAUAGAAAAUAGAAAAAAAAAAAAAACACUGAAUUUAUUUUCCCUAUAACAGAAUGAUGGAUAAUUCUGUACAAUCUCCAACAAGAUGCGAGAAUUGAACCAGUAACAAGCUCACAAACCUCUGGCCUUAACUGAAAACAAGAACAAUCAAACACCAAAUAUCGAAAAUUGUCUAAGCCAACCACCAUAUGCACGAACGGGAUAGCUACAAGAUUUUCUCAACAUCACAAUAAAAUUUAUACGAUUCAGUCAAUAAAAGUCCACGGCAUAGAAUAUCAAUCAAAACCUAACUUACAUGGAACGAGCAGAGGCAAGAGAUUUUCGAGCGCUAUCGGGGCCAGCUCCAUUCUCAGAAGCUUUUUUCUUUCCCUGCGAUGGCAUGGACAAAGUCAAACUUUUCCUGGAUGAACCGCCGUGACUAGCCAUUUCCGCCGAUGAACAAGACCAAUCCUUCAAAUCUCUGAAAACAAAACAAAAUCAUUCUCAGACAACGAAAAAGAAUUCCAAAAUUUCUACCACAGCUCCCGUCUGUUUUCUACAAUAACUCUGGAAAACAAUAGGUAAACAACUCAGGCCCCAUAUGUUCCAUUUCUGUUUAUCACGAAAUCAAAAGGUCAACUGAGCUAAGCUAAUUUUGCCGUUUUUCAGGCAACCAAAGCCAAAACGAACAACAAUUCAAAUUUUCAUUCCCUAGGUUUUCUCAGCAACCAAACAACCCAAAAAGAAACGCACCGACAAGGAAUUUGAAAGGCGAGGAGAUUCUCCGCGCCUGGGGAUUGAUGACUUGAAGGCGGGAAGGAUUACGGGGGUGUUUAGAAGAUAGGAAAAUGGAACGAUCGCGGUCGGGCUUUGGUCGGAAAAUCUCAAGAGCUUUUCCGGGAAACGCACCGACCGGCGAAACGUUGAGGGGAAAGCAGAGAUGAGAAACCCUAAGAAAUGGGAGAUUGAAAUUGAAUUCGAUGAGGUGAAGACCAAUAGAAUCCCAACACGUCACCUCUUCUAACAGAAAAUUCCUCCAAUUCACAGAGGUUAUCGUGAGGCCUCCAUAAUUUCUAUCUUCAUUUACGUUUCUACCCUUACAAAAACAAGAAAAUUACCCCCUGGCCUCUGCUUCUCGUGCUUCUAAAUGAUGUACCUUUUGAGAGGGUUUGUCUCAAGUGUACAAGUUUGGAUGCAAGAAGAAGUCUUCUACAUGGGGAGAAGGAGGUUAUCCACUGGUAGAGUUGAACAAGUGGAAGAACCUUUGCCGUCCAUGUAGGUGUCAAGUGGGCAGAAUUUUUUCUUUAAAAAAAAAUUAUUUUAAGAACAAUUUUUAAAACAAACCUUAGCAUUUUAGUUAAAUAACACUUUCUAUAUAUAUAUAUAUAUAUAUAUAAUCGACAUUAAUAGUAUUUUUGAGUAUCAAAUAAGAUGUCUUGGUUAAUAAUAAAAAAUAGUUAUUAAAAGUAUAAAAAAUGUGAUAAAAAUUUAAAACACUGAUGAUUUGAAAUUUAUAAUGAGAAAGAAAUUUCAUAUGAUAUAAUGGAACUAUGUUAAAGGUGUAAUAUUUGAAUUAAUCAUUAAAUUAAUUUUUUAUUACCUAUUUUAUGAAUAGUGAAUAUAAGGUGGAAAACCCAUCUAAGCAUAAAAAAAAACUCCAAGUAAUUUAUUGAGUGCUAAAUAAUCCAUUAAAUAUAAUAAAAAUGUAUAUCGUUUAUUCUUAAUCAAAAGCACUCCUAAGAUAUCACUGUGAUUUUUUUAUUACUAAAUAAUCCAUUAGAUAUGAUAAAAAUGUACACGGUUUUACCAAAUCGGAUACACACCUAAGGUCUUGGUCUUAUACAUGUUUCCAAUGUAGCACACCCCCGUGCUCCUUGAUGAAUCCCUCAAAAUUAUUAUCAGAGUUUUAUGAUAGGAUCUCUAAUUUUUGUUGUAAUCAAAAGUUACUGUUGGCAGAUCGGAGGGUUGGUCGCGUCUAUCAACUCUCCUUGUGUUCGCCGUGGGCGCUUGGGUGAAUGCACUAUAAAGUUAGGGUAUGCGUCUUUCCUAACAGCAAUUGCUUUUAUGAGAGUUGGUAGCGUCUGAGGUCCUAAAAGUGGUAUCAGAGUCAAGGUCACAGGUUCGAACCUCUAGGAUGUUGCUGGGGGGAUUAUUGGUAGAUUGGAGGGUUGGUCGCGUCCAUCAACUUCCUUGUGUUCACCGUGGGCGCUUAAAAAGCAAGCCUGAGUUUACCAACUAUGAAUAUGAACAAAAUUGUCAACUAAAUAAAGUACCUUAACAAUAGUCAUUAUUUUAUUUAAUUCAAAAGGUUUAAACAAAAUUAAAGUAAUGAAUGGUUUAUAAUUAAGUAGUGUUUGUUUUUUUACUUAGUUCUAAAUAAAACUUUAAUAUUUAAUAAUAUUAAAUAUUAGGUUGUUUAUUUUUUUAAUAAUUUAUUUAUAUUAAACAUUAAAAGGUAAAAAAAAAUCAAUAUUUAUUUUUUCCAUUUAAAAAAAGUUAAAUAUUUUGAUUUUUUUUUAUUUAACAAAAAAAUUAUAGUAAGUUAUGAAAAAAUGGAAAAAUAAAUUACUUAAAGUCUAAAAACAAAUUAUUUUCAAUAAAAAGUUAAAAAAACAAAUACCACCGUCUAAAUCCAUGUGGCUGAAUACGAAAACUUUUGUCCCCAAUAACCUUUCUUGGCAGCCAAACAAAAUUAGAAGGGAAUUUGAAUUUUUCAUUAUUGGGUCAAAGGGUGUGAGCUAUGAUCUGAGAUUUGUAAAGAAUAGACUAAUGGGCCAUGCAUACCACAUGGGAAUGCAUUCAAGAAUACAUGUGUGAGCUAUGAUGUGGGAUUGUAAAGAAUAGACUAAUGGAUCAAGCAUACCUCAUGGGAAUGCAUUAAAGAAUAGAGAUGUAGAUAAUUUAUAAUAAUAAAAGUCUUAUUAUAAAGGAAUCACUUUAGAAAUAAUUUAAUAAACCAUCAAUUUAAAAUGAAUUAGGGUUUAUUAAAAUUAUAUUUGGAAUACAAUAUUUGAAAUAUUUUUAAAAAAAAUUGGUCAAUUUUUUAUUUUUAUUUUUAGUUCUUUUCUUUAACGGAUUCCAUGGAAACAUUAUGAGUAAAGCAUGAUGCUCAUAGCUGGACUUAUGGAUUCAUUGCUUCAAUAAGGAGAAAUGUUUAAAUUCUUUUUUUUUUUUUAAUAUAAAGUUUGAUUAAAAAAAAUUUUAAUUUAAACAAGGUAAUAGCUUGUACAUAUUCUGUUGUAAUUUGAGUUAAUAAUAUGUAAUUUCAUAAAAAUGAUUUAUUUAUUUUAAAUAUAAUUUUGGGAAAGUUGUGCUUUGGAUCUAAUUGGGCAAAAAAAUUGGCCUUAAGUCCAUAAAACUUGUCUGUUUAGCAGAAGUAUAAAAAUUGAGAAGAAUGAUAUAAAACUUUAAUAUUUUCUGAAAUGUCCUUAAUAAUUGUGAAAAAAUAACAAAAAAAUCCAACCUAAAAAUCAUAUUAAAAACUUAAAAAUAAUAAUAAUAAAAUAAAAAUAAAACUCUUCAAAAUAAAAAUUGAAAAUCUAUUUUUUUAAUAAAAGUAGAAAAAAAAUUAGAAUAAAGUUGAAAAGCAAAAAACAUAUUUUCUUUAAUAAAAUCCAAUUUCCCUUUUUAAUAAAUUGAGUUUUUUCUUUUAAUAAAUUAUUUUUUGUAAAAUAAAUAUUUUUUUUUUAGAAUUUGAAAUCACAUUUUUUUAAAAAUUUUGAACUGUUUUUUUCUCUUAUUUUUUAUAAUUAAUUUAAAAUAUUUUUUUUAGGAUAAACGGGGAUAACUUUAUAAAAAUAAAUAAAUUGUAAUGUUUUUCUAAAUAAAUUUGAGAGUUUUUUUUUAAACAUAAAUUAUUAUUAUUAUUUUAUAAAUAUUUUUAAAUUUAAAUAGAAAUUAGAUUUUGUCAACAAAAAAAGAUUGAAAGAUAUUUUUAUCUCUUAUAAUUUCAUAUCCUUCGCGCCAAUUAUGCUACUUACAUGUACUGAAGGUCAAUUUCAAGGCCCAACCGGUCAAAGCACAUUCUCCCAAUAAUUUUUAUUUUUUAUAUUUUGUCAUAUUUUUUGUCCAUUAAGAUAAAAAGUGUGACAGAAAUUAUGGAAUGUAUAGCAUUACUCUCAAAUCUUAUACACUAAGGAGAAUAUAGAAUUGUUCAAAUCAAGAAAGAUAAAAAAAAAUUACAAGAAUAAAUAAACUAUAAGAGCUCAUUUGAUAGUGAUUUUAUAAAACUUUUUUAGUUUAAAAAAAUGUUUUUGAAAAAAUUAGGUGUUUAACAAAUUUUGGAAAACACUUUUAAAAUUUUGAAAAAUCAUCAGUGUGUUGACAGUGAUUUUAGAAAGUAUUUCUAUCAUUUUUAAUAAUUGAAAGAUAAAAAUUUUCAAAUGUUAGAAAUAUUAUAAACACUUCAUAAAAUCACCGUCAAACGCACUCUUAACGUUAAAAACUCACUUGUAGUAUUUUAUGAAAAAACACUUGAUUAGUAAUUAUUUUACAAAUAUUUUGAGAAAAAACAAUUUCAUUAAAAACACUUUAAAUAAAAAUAUUGUCAAACGCACUCUAAGAGUAUGUUUGACAGUGAUUCUAGGAUGUGUUUCUAACAUCUUUAAUAUUUUAAAAGAUAAAAAUUUUCAAGUAUUAGAAAUACUAUAAACACUUCCUAAAAUCACUGUUAAACACAUUUCGUUUGACAGUGAUUAUAAGAAACACUUCUAAUAUUUUUAAUACUUAAAAAAUUUUAUCAUUCAAAUGUUAAAACCGUUAAAAACAUUUUUUUUUUUUAAAAAUGAAGUAUUUGACAAAAUUUAAAAAAUAUUUUUAAAAAUAUGAAAAAUCACUUAUGAUAUUGAAAAAUAAUUUAUAGUAACGUAAAAUCACUUAUAACAUUUUUUCGAGAAGUACUAAGUGAGACUUUGUUUCGAGGUCUAUAAAAAACCUAAUUGUCAUUAGGGUUUAUCCCAAGUGACAAAUUAUUAAGUGAUUUUUACAAUUUACCUUUUUCCUUUUUCUUUUUAUAAAUGGAUUCAUUUCUUGAUAUAGACGGAACACAGGCCUUUGAGGACUGGAUAGUGAUAGAUGAAUUCUAAAGUAGCAGAUGCUCUCACCCAAGUUGAAAGGCUUUUAGAGUAUUAUUAUACUAUGAUCCAUUUCUUGAGCCAAAAGAAUAGUCUCCCAAAGUGAUAGUACUCGGAAGAAUGCAACCAUUCUUAUACUCGGACUGCCUUCUAUUAACUUCAAGACUCAUUAGCUUCUCCCUCGGCAAACUCUCCGAGAAUUAGAUUGAGGAAAUGGCGGAUUGGGCACCCAUUUUGAUAGGCCUCCUCCUGUUUAUUCUGCUUUCUCCGGGGCUGAUUUUCCAGCUGCCAGGCAGCGUCCGCCACAUCGAAUUCGGAAGCUUCGGUACAAAUGGGAAGGCCAUGCUUAUACACACCAUCUUGUUCUUUGGCAUCUUUACCAUUCUCAUCAUGGCUCUCAACAUUCAUAUCUAUCUUGGUUGAUUCCAUGAAGAUCUUGGAGAUUGUGGUGUACGUUAUGGUCCAAUCUAAAAACCUUAAAUCCUACCCGCUAAUGUUCUUGAUCAAGUGAUUUAGAUGUUUUUUUAGGUCUGAUUUUACGUGGGAGGGAAAGUGAUUGAUUGAUGUUCCUUAGUUUUUUCUUCUUUUUUUUUUUUUGGGUGUUUUUGUUUUUUUUUCACAUUUGUUGAUUAUUGAUAGUGCAUGUAGCAAAUGGCUUUGCUUUUGUUUGUUUUUGUUUUCAAUAUUUCCUUUAGUAAUUAUUCAAGGAGCUUUCAAGGAAAAAAAAUUUAUAUUUGUAAUUUCAUGUUGUGCAAGGGAUAUUAGGUUUUGUGUUUUUGGAUUGGAAACAUAUUAAUUCAUUCGUAUUUCAAUUUUUAGAAAGUAUUGUAAAUAUAAUAACUGAUAAGAAAUCGAGUGAAUUAGAAUUUCCCA